rnacentral:lncRNA from 1 species
CAUGCACAGUACAGAUAUAUGAGAUAAGAGAUAUGAGAUAUGAGAUGAGAACGUCCCCAUCUAUCCGUUGUGGCUCCGGGGCAUGACGUUACCCAGAUAGUGCGUCAUUGCCUGGCCGUUGAAGCCUGGAUAUGAUCAGAUUAUUCCCUGGGUACUUGUUUGAUGACAGUUUUUAGUAUUCAGUAUUUAAUAUGAGUAUGGUGAUUUCAUCGAUUUUAUGCAGAUUUAUUAUUGCAGUUAUUCAAUUUGAAUUAAAUGAGUUUAUGAUAUUUUGAGAAAUUGAUUUGAGAAUUGAUUUACGAAAUUGAAAUUGAUUUAAGAAAAGAUUUGAGAAAGAUUAAAUGAUUUUGAAUAAUUUAUUAAAGUAUCAGCACCUACUAUCCACUCACUGAGCUCACAGAGUUUUAUACUCACCCCUCUUUUAUUAUAUUUUUUCCCCCCACAGGAGAUUUACAGGUACAUCAGUCAACCCAGUAGUGAACGUUAGUUUGAUAUUGUGGUCACGUGAUGGUGCUAGAAGUCGUGGAUUUUAUUAUUAUAUUCGAAAUUUGUGUUAUUAUUUUAUGUUAUUAAGGAUAAUCGUUGUAUUUUAAUAUUCGGAUGAUUUUGGUGAUAUUUGAUAAGUUGAUUUGAGAAGUUGGUUAUGGAGGAUGUUUGGUUAUUAAAUUAUUUCGGGAGUGUUAUUUUGUCAUUUGCAGGGUUGGAUAUGUUUUAUUUAUAAGGGAGACUCUGCCGAAAUUUUUUUAUAGAUUUGUUAUUAAUUCGAUUUUACGAGUUUAGAUAGACUCGCCCUGGGGGAGGUUGCGGGGCGGGUCGUUUCACACAAUGUUCAAAAGUCCAAAGAGUAAGUCACAAUUCAUACAUCCAAAUUCCAAUUUCAUAUAGGGACUGAUUUGUAAGAAAUUUUAGGCCAAAAUAAAAUUUUCAUAAGCUUUAUGGUAGUAUACUAAUUUCAAGAGAAAGAAGGGAGCUAAUUGAAAUUUUUUAAAAAGGGAAAAACACUAGAAUUAAGCAAAGGAAUGAUAAAAAGAUAAAUAAAGAGCAAAACUAAUAAAUGAGAAUAGAAAAUAAAAAAUAAUAAAAAUGAAAUUGAUACCAAAUUUAGAAAAUUCUAUAAUAACGAAGUAAAAAACUUAACAUGAUUCAAAAGUGUUGAUUACUCCAAAGUAUAAGGGUGUCCAAUUAUAAUAUAACCCGUUGAGUCGGAAGUCGAACCGCAGGAAAUUUAUAAAUCUAGUAAUCAAUUAUUAAAUAAAAAUUAAUUGCAUAAAAAGAAAUUAAUAGAGACUAAUCUAGAAAAUACAAAGGUUACAAGAUCCACUCUCGGUUUUUAAAUUAUGGUCAAAAUACUCUCUCAUAUUUAUAUUUUGCAUUUUUUUAGCUAGUUAAUUACUAUGCUGUUUAAUUCUUAAUUGGUCAUCUGUAUGGAUAAAUAUGAGAUUAAGUACCUAAUGUGUCAAAAAUAUAUCGGAGUGUCAAUAUUAUGUCUUAAUUCAAUAUAGAUCCAAGAGAAUUUAGAUUUAUAAAUUAACAUGAUAUAAAAAUAACUAAUGAAGAAAACAAAUACGAAUUAUAAUCAUAUAACAAAAUAAAAUAAACUUUAACUAGUGUGGUUGGAGCCUGUUUGGUUUAGUGUUGGACCCAUGUCAUCACGUAAAUUCGCUAUUUUAUCAAGCACAAGUGAUGGUAAAGGAAUAGAAGCAUUGGUGGUAAUCUUUAGGGAGGAUAUGGACAAAUUUGAACAAGACCGUAGCAUCAUGGCUCAUGCUUCAUCUAACCCUAGCAUACUUGUAAAAUAGUGGUAAGGAGUCAGCUUCCGGCCUAGCAUAAAAAUUCGAGAUUAUAGUCCAAGAGAAGUUCACAAUGCUGUAAACCGUCUUUUUCAUUAUUUUACAACAUUGUAAUUAAACUCGUCACGUAAAAUUUUCAUAAUAGCAAGAGACUUUAUUUAUUUUAAUUAUCUUUAUAAACUUGAUGUCGAAUGCUACUGCAUGUAGCUAAUUGAAUGGUUGUAUAAUAAAUAUCAUUUAUCUCUAUUAUAAUCUCUAACAAUUAUUGGUCUUUCGAGGUUAAUUAGCUAGGGUUAGAACAAGUGAAAAGAAAUGCUAAAUGAAAUAAAUUUGAGUUGGACAAACAUAUAUACGAGUCAUUCGUGUGACAUAUGGAUCCCAAUUUUCUUCUUACUUAUUCUUUCCCUGUCUCCUGAUUUUUUUUUUUAACAAGCUCUAUUUGUACAAAUAUCUGAACGGUCUAAGAUCAAUAACAGUUACACACAAAUAUCUAAAACUAAACUUAUUGGCCUCCACACACUUCUAGCUUUACUCUUUCAAAAACAGUAGACACUACGCAACCAUGUACGUGCUAUAUAUAUCUUCAAUGGGCUCUGAGAAAUCAGCCGUUUCAUUCACUUCUUAGAGAAAUCUGCCAAAGGGGAUAAAGAAUCAAGAUUAACAACGCAUAAAAUAAAUCACACACCAUGCAACAGAGAUACAAUAAUUUAUAUCCGCUACAAGAAAUCUGCAUUAUGACAGCAUGUGAAAAGUGCUGCAAACGUUGUUAUGAAGAAUGCUGUAAAAAGACGCAAUACUUCUGAAGCAUUUCUUUUACUGCAGAAUCCAUAAUAUUGCACCAGCUAUGGAAGACGGCAACUACCUGAACAAUGCGAAAAUAAUGAUAUUGAAUCCAAGCACGGAUAUUAUCAGAUUAAUCAAACUUAAAAUUCAUCUGUAGAAUGUCAACAUUGAAACACUAUUUCCCUUCUUUUUAUGGAUCAUUCAGCAGUCUCACUGCAAAAUCAACAAACAUUAUCAGAACAUAAACAAUUUCAUGCCCGUUCAAAUACUAGGAACAAUAUUAAUAUUCAAUACUAGCCGAAUGUUGCCUUUAAUAUUAUGAAUUAACAAAAUUAUUGAUCAUUACAUUCGUCAUCAAAUCCAGGCUUUAGGAUGGCUUACAGACCAUCGGUAAUUGCAUCUAUCUUUUUCCUAUGAGAUGGAAAAUAGUACAAUAAUUAAAAUUACUGUGCAAAAUUAACGUUAAUAGUGAAUAAAGCUGCUCACAGAUAUGGGGAAAGCUGUAAAUAACUACAGAACCAUGUUGUGUAACACAUCCACAUUCUAUCAAAACAAAACUGCUCUCAAUUGACAAAUUGAUAAAAUCAAAAGGUAAAGAGCUUGGGUGAUUUAAGCUAUUGACUAACAGGCGUUCUUAAUCGGAGAUGAGUUACAACUCAUCUUUCUGUAAUUAGAAAUUUAGGAGAUUAGAGAAAAGUAAUGAGGAAAAACAAUAUUGUGAAAUGGGUGGAACAUGUUGAGAUAAUUUUGGGUAAUAAUUAAUAAAGCUCAAAAUAGAAAAUAAGCAACAAAAUGUUUUUUAUUAUUAUUUUAAUAUUUUAUUGUUUUGGCUCCUCUAAAGUUUUUUCAUUACGACAAAAUUUUCUUUUAAGAAGAAAGAAUGGAAGAAUUUCUAAAAAGACGGUAUAUAGGUUCAAUGAUACUUUUGAAAGUCAAAAUUGAAGUCAGGCACUUAAAAUUGUAGAUUUUGAAAUAUCUGAAGAUUAGAUAUCAAAAUUCAUUAUAGUUAAAUUUGAUUGAUAUACAUCUUCCAUUAACAUAUAGCAUGGCACGCUGGGAUCCGGAGAAAUAUGCACAAACUAGUCUAAUAUCUUUCACUUGCUAAGCAAAAUUACAAAACCAUUUUCAAUGGCCAUAAAAUACAGCUAAUAUUAUUUGGCUCACACAUUCAUCUUAUACAUUUCACAUAAUAAAUUAAAAUGCAAGUAAAAUAUCAUCAGAGUUGAUGAUCGUUAUCAGGCGAGACAGGAGUGGCAAGUAAGCACAAAUCAUUUUUCCUUGAGACAAUGGCUCCAAAAGCCUCACUCAUGUCAAGAUCCUGCGAUGCAAUUCCACCAGGGAGUUCCCAUUCAAAAUUAUAGAGAAGCUGAGCGAGAGGCAGCUCAAUGUUAGCUAGACCAAAUGCUAUGCCUGGACACAUCCUCCGUCCUGCCCCGAAUGGAAUAAAUUCAAAGUCAUUUCCCUUGAAAUCGAUCGAAUUGUUGCCUCCGUUACCAUUAAAUCUCUCAGGUACAAAAUUCUCAGCUUCAUUCCAGUACUUAAAAUCUCUUCCAAUAGCCCAUGCAUUUACUACAACUCUGGUCUUUACAGGAAUUUCAUAGCCUUUUAUCUCGCAUGCCUCCCUGGUCUGUCGUGGAACUAAGAGUGGAUUUGGUGGGUGCAAUCUUAGAGUUUCUUUGAUGAUCAUUUUCAAGUAAUUUAGUUCCUGAAUAUCUGCCUCCGAAAUAUUUUUAUUUCCCUUGAGUGCUUCUCUUACUUCAGCCUGUGCCUUCUUCAUCACUCCAGGGUUUCUCAUCAACUCUGACAUUACCCAUACUGUCGUUGUGGCAGCAGAUUCUGUUCCCCCAGAAAAUAUGUUCUAGAAAUUAAAAAUAUUGGAUGUUAAAUAAUUUUGUUUAAUAAAUUAAAACCUAAAAUGAAAAGUUAUAGGAAAAAUGACAGAUGAUUUGACAAAACGGUAAUAGAAACCCUUAAUUUUUUAACGGCAAUCACAUGUGAACUCCUUCUUUAGCAAUUAUGCAUAAAUGGAAUACAAUUACGUAACUAGUGCGUAGUCAAAUGGUAUAUUGUUAUUAAAGGGGUUUAUGUUACCAUUUUAAAAAUAAAGGACAUCUCUAACUAUUUUUUUUUUGUUUUUUAUAAAAUGGUAGAAUAGUAGGAAAAAUCUAAAUUGAACUUUUAAACCCUACUCUCAGGAUUUGAACUCGGCAAUUAGUUAAAGAAAACUACUUGAACACCACUUAGUUAAAGCCCUGGAGGCAUAAAUAGUGAUUCAAUUAAGAAAAAAUGAAGUCAUUUAUUUAUAUGCUGAUUUUUAUUUAAGAAAACAAACUUAUAUAUACUAACCCAAAUAAUAGAUUUGAUGUUUUUGGUAGUAAUAGGAAACCCCAAACUGCUGGUCUCUUGAAGCCUUAAGAGCACAUCAACUAAAUUUUCUUCUCCAGAAGCAGAAGCAGUAGCAGUAAUUUUCUCCAAUUUCAUGCUCUCCCUACGCUGGUUGAUUAGAUUAUCUAGGAUCUUGUCUGCUUUACCAUGAAGCUUCAAUAUCUUAGCUUCCAUCCCGCUAAAAAAAUGAAUAAAUUUUAGCGAAGGAAACACUUCUACCAAAGAAAAACCUCCAGCCAGUUUGCAUAUUUCUUUGUCUAGUGAUACAAACUCAUCUUGUUGCUCAAAUCUGCUCCCGAAUGCAGCCCUGAAAGUCACUGUGCUUGUGAACGAAACCAUCAUUUUAGAGAGAUUAAUUGGUUGAGAAUUUGAAGUUGCAGACGCGGAGCGAAUGGAUUCAAUUAGAUUCAAUGUCUCAUCUUCACGAAUAUGAGCAAAUGACUUGACUCUUUUGUUACUUAGCAGCUCCAAAGCGCACAGUUUUCUCAUCUGCCUCCAAUAAUCACCAAUAGGUGCUGACACAAUAGGCAUGCCAGUUUUCUCGUACAAAACCUUGAAGGCUAGAAAUUCUGGCCUAUCCGCGAAGGCCAGAUCAUGUGUCUUCAUAACCUCUUUGGCUAACUCCGCAGAAGAGAUUACAACCAUCGAUAUUUCUCCCAAUUGAAGUUUAAUUAUAGGCCCAUGUUUUCUAGCUAUUUCUUUGAGAACAUGGUGUGGCUGCGAGCCUAUCAUGUUGUGCAAGUUGCCGAUAAGAGGAAGUUUCAGUGGCCCAGGGAGGGAUUUCGUAUUAGGGUUUUGGGAUUGGAAUACUAGUUUGAAGAAGAAGAUUAGACAGAUGACAGAAAAGGAUAGACUGAAAAGAAACUGGAGCUCCAUCGCGUGGAGAAAAAGAGAAAAAGAGAAAAAGAGAGGAGAAAUUAUCUUUCUAGGAUGUAUGUAAGCUAAAUUUUCUUGAUCUCUUCUUAUCAAAUAUCGUAUUCAAACUCAAAAAUUGAAGUUUAUGUAUUGGAAAAUGACAUCUAAACUCCCAAAAUUUGCCCAAAUAUAGAAACAAGAGACGGUUAAUUGCUAUGAUUUCAAAAAUAAACAUAUAGAUCCCUGUUCAUCUUUUCACUAUAACUCCUUUUCUUAUAGCUACAUGUCGAAAAUGAUAGAAGAGUUGAAAUUGGGCCAUGGACUAUAAAACUUGCCGGAAUAUAUAUAAGCUAAAUUAAUUUUAUUGAUCUCGUAUUGUAUUUGACAUUAGACGGCGACGUCAAGUUUCAAUGGUAAAAAGUGGUCACUCAAAGACUCAUGUUUUAGGUUCGAGCCUCACUAAUGUGUGUGAGUUAAUUAAAUAAAAAAAUAUAAAUUGUAAAAAUGAAAGUUGAUGCACCGCGAAAAAGACAUCUAAACUCCCUAUAAGAUUUACUCAAAUAUACAAAUAAAAUAUACAAAUUGUACUUGACACAUAAAAUGAAAGUUGAUGCACCGCGAAAAAAAAAUCUAAACUCUCUAUAAAAUUUACUCAAUUAUACAAAUAAGAAAUACUAUUUUAAAGACAACUAUUUUUUUUUACUAUUAUACGCUUUUAUUAUACAAACCCCUGAAAUUGAUUUUAAAAUUUCAUAAAAAUUUAACGUACAUAUAAUUAAAUUUUAUAGUAAUUUUAUUUACUAUAAAAAUCUAAAGUCAGUCUUUGGCGAACAAAUCCUAAUAUUGAAUAAAAUUAUUUAUUUAGGGAUACUUUUGGAUUGUUGCUGCUUAUGAAAUAAUCCACUUCUGCAGUGCUGAUGAGAUAACAAAUAAGAUAAAAAGAAGUUAAAUAUUUGUUCAACUAAAUUACUGAGAGUGUUAUGAAUUUCAAAAAUAGAUUAUCUGUCCCACUCCCACAAGUUUAAUAGAGUUUUUCAGUCCCACCUUGACUCAUUGAAAAUUGAUACACUUUGUUAAUUACAAUGGUUCAAUGCAUACGCAUGUGAAAACAACAUGAUCAUUUGACUUCCACAGAAACAUACAAAGGAAGCUUCCGUUUGAUUGAAAUGAAUCAACGAUUAUUUUAUCCGAAUUUUAUGAUAACAAAUAUACAGUAAUAAUUGAUGGUUAAUGAUAAAGGAAAAUGAGUAUACACUGUUGGGAUCAUCUAAAGACACGCACAAGACUUUUUUACCAGAAAUGAUCGAUCUGUCCUUCAUUUUCCCUUCUGAUUAAUUUUUCAAAAGUCCAAGAGUUUCAUAUUAUAAUCUUCCAAUUUUAAUUUGAAAUUUAUCAAUUAAGCUAUUAAAAUAAGUCAAUUAAAAAAGUCCCAACCUUUUGAAGGGACGUUCAAAUCAAACAUUUAUGGUUGAAUUAAGUUUAAUGGUUCAAGUAACAUUUUUUUUUUCUCUCUUAGAGGCUUGGUUGAAUGGUUUUCAAAUAACUUUAUUUAGAGAACUUCUAUAAAACAUUAGAAAUAAUACAAAUAAUUAAUGUAUGUAUGAAACGUGUAGUUGAAUUUUAUAUAACCACCAAUUGCGUUCUGGUUCUUCAAACUAAAUACACAUAUGUCAUAAUAUUAUUUAUUUGUUGUUUGGCUAAUAUGAUACCUCGGAAUAUUCUAGAAUUUCUCAUUUAUUUGACUGGUCACCUGAAAGAGACAAGGGGAUAAAAAUUCAUUUGGACUUUACUCAUCCCUAAACUUUAUUUAAAAAAUAAAAGUCCAGUUGUUCAAGCAGCAAUUUCACUGUGUUGUAUAUUAGAAAAUUUCAAAGGGAGAAAGAUAAAUAUUUAUGUUUCUCACGUUUGCACUUAGGUCCCUAAUUUUUUUAAUUCUCGGUACAACCCCAAUGUUAGAAAAUGUAAUAAUUAAAAAAAAAGUUUUUUUUUAAUUCUUUUUCUAUUAUAACAUUGUUGUCAAUCAAAUAUAUAAUUUGCAUGCUAUUGAGUUAUUGGUCUUUUUCUAUUAUAACCUUAGUGGCACUGAAGACGAUGAUGUUGCUUGAAAUAUAUAGAAGUUAACGAGUAUUGACUUUAAUUGAUUUAUUUCUAGUUGUAAGUUGAUGGUUUUGUCCAUGUUAACAACUCAUAUAUUUUAAAUGAGAAUUUUCAAAUUAAAAAAGUACAUAAGUUUCGUAUAUAUAAUUAAAAAAUAAUAGGGUUAUAUUCAUAGUAUGAUGAUAAAUUAUUUGAAUUAUAAAUAUAUGUUGUCUUUUUUUUUUCUUUUUUGACAAGUAAAUGGAUUUUCUUAAGACUUAAAGACCAAGAGUUUACUAUUGUAGUAUGGUAGGCAUUAUGGUAGUAAUAAUUUGAGGGGGAAAUUUUAUUAGAUAGAGUAAGCCUAUUGCUUGAUAGACUAAAGUAACAAGCAUUGGCCUUAAUUCUGGUCAUUGUUCAUAUUUCCUAACUACAUUUGUAGCAUUACUUAUAAUUAGUUUAAGCUUAUUUAUUAUUAUUGAAUAAAAUUAACUAGUAUAUUUAGUGCAAGCACCAAUAAUUUGUUGUUAUUUUCUUUUUUGAAUGACAUUAUACUCUACUGCUAUUUACAAUUAGAAUCCUAUUAAAAUCUUGUCAACCAACUCUAUGAUGGUAGAGCUUAGCUAUAUGGUCCCAAACUCAUUGGAUCUACUUUUAAAUUUUUUGAAGAAAAUCAACCUACUACGUAAAUGAGAGGACUCCAACCCUCAACCUCAAGAGUGAAGUAAGGUGAUUCCCACUUGUCAACCAUAAGAUAAUUUACAAAUUUAUCAGUGCGUAGUACUUCUCAUACAAGAUUUCUUGCUUUAUUAGUUUACGGAAGAUACAUUAAAAAUGCUUUUCUUCUGAAUAAGUUUUGGUGCCGUUUGCAUAUUUUGUUGGCAGUUAUCGUAAAAGCUCUAAUCUCGACCGUCGAGUUCCAUAUUUCGUAUACUCACUUCAAAACUAAUAAAUUCUGUAAACAAGUCACCAUAGAGUAAUUGUCAUGCCGCUAGCAUUGUCCUGCAAAUUUCCAAUAAUAGCAUCAUAACCCGUAAGCGUGAUUUCAAAGAAUAUUUACAACGUCUUAAAGACUUAAACUAGCAAAACAAAAAGCGCUUGAUGAUUCCUGCAAACAUCAAUCGAACGAGAAUUUGUUUUUAAAUAAAGAGAAUCAAAUAAGACUUAGGAAGAGAGAAAUAGGUGGCAUUAGAUGUUUUGUUUGAAUUCUAAAUAGAACUAAAUGUCUGAAUUCUGAAUUGAACUAAAUGUCUAAAUUUGAAUGAUAUGUUUGUUUUCUUAUCUGAAUUGCUAAAAAUAAAUAUUAAACUGUUUAUUUUUUCAACUUAAAAAAUUUAAAAACUAGUAUUUUUACAUUUAUGUCCUUACAAAUUAUAAUGUAAAGAUAAUACAUUAUCAAUAUAUAAAUUAUGCUUAAUUUAUAGAACCUUUUAUAUUCUAAAAUAGUAUAUGUUAAUUAAUUUUAUCACGGUUUAUGAUCUUUUCAUAUGAAAAAUAUUUAUAAAAAAUUAUGAAGAUAAAUAAAGCUAAUUUGAAGAAAAUAAAAGGAUAAAUAAUAAUAGUCAACUACUAUAUUAUCACAAGUUAAAUUUUAUUUAGAUAAUGAUAAAAAUUAAUUAAUUAGAUAGGUAUUUUUUGAGAAUAUCUUUCAGUGAGAUCAUUUAGAGUUUUAAGAUUAAGAAAACAACUAAAAAAAAUAUUUUAAUAAUUUAAUGACUUAACGACUGAAAAUUUUCAUUAAGUUAAAAUACAAAUAGACUUAAUGGAUUAACUGACUGUACGUCAAUUAUAUCAUUAAGUCAAAAAGCAACCCCCAUAAUUAGCAUUGCUUCUUGAAGAAUUAUACAACGAAGAAUAUAAGACAAAAUGGACAUGAAAAGGGGACCAAAUUAGUAGAUUUUGGACACAUCACGCAUGGAAGCUAUUGAUGAAAAUAAUCAGACAAUGAUAGCAACAAAAUUAUAAAUCAAAAUAAUUGAUUAUUAUCUCUAUCUUUUUAAAUCAUUAUAAAUAUUGAUUAAUUAUCAUCAACAUUGAUUGACUCAAUCUUAAAAUAUGAAUCAAAUUACCAAGUAUCAUAUCAACUGUAUAAUUUUUAGUUUUAUUUUUUAAAAAUUAUAUAAAUUCAUAUUAUAAUCCAGUACUUAAUAGAACUUUUACUCAGUUUUUAAGGAUAUAUUUACAUCUGUCAUAUUUUGCAAUUAAUGGUUAUUGUUUGGGGUCUAGCUACUAUCCAACCGUGAUUUGGUACUCCAUUUUUUGUCUUUUUGUGAUCCAACCAUUAGAUUCAACCCAAGAGUUGCAAAAGCUAUUGUAAGGAUUUAAUUACUUGGUCAUUAAUGUUGCGGCCCCUCAUUUUUCUAAAAAUUAUAAGGAAAGGUUAGUUUUCAAAAUUUUUUCACAUAAGUCCAUUAAAAGGUUUUAUUAUCUUUAAAAGGAUCAAUGGCAACUUAGUAAAUAAACAUAAUUAAUUAUUAAAAAUAUAGAUGGAUUAUUUUAAGUUGCUAUAAUACUCUCCACAUCCAUUUACUUAAAAUACAAAUUGGAUUACAAUAUUGUUCUCUUGUGUUUAGUUUAAUGCAUGAUUGGACAAAGUUUUAUAUAAGUUUUGACAAUAUUAAAAUUAAAAAUAAAUAAAUAUUAAAUAAGUACUUGAACGGUAAUUUAAGUUUUAUUAUAGAGUUUAUAAAUGCUAUUUUCAAAAUAAUAGAUUUCUAUAUGCAACUUUGAAAUUAUGUAAAAUUACUCAUACCUCAUCACAUAUAUGGAGCUGAGAUAAUAUUUAGAAAAAUAUAAUCUCAAUUAUUUACUUAACAUGAAAAUGAAUAAAUUGUAUAAUAUUUAUUCUAUUACAUAAAAUUAAAGUUGUGAAGAAUGAAACUUAAAUUUAAAAUUGUAAAAUGAAUAAUAACUUAAAUUAAUGGAUUAUGAGAGAAUUAUCUUUCAAAAAUAAUUUUAAGAUUAAUUAGCUUUUAAGGCUUCUAACGUAAUCUUUUUUAUCUCGUGUUGUUAACAUAAAAUAAAAAUUUUGCUGUAAAAAAUUAUCCUAAACAUCUCUUUAAGGUGAAAAUAUCAUUAUCACAUGAUAAUUUAGUAGGUCCAAGCUGUGUUAUUCUUAGUUUACUUAUUUAUGCUAAACACCAUAUUAUGAUUAAAUUUUAGUAAAAUAAAUCCAUCCCACCAUCUUUAACUUCAUUGAGCAGGUUUUAAUUGUCUAUAUCUUAUUAUAGAAAGUAAGACAGCUCCUUUCUUAUUAUAUUGGUAAAGAAGAAAAGAUAAACACAAUAGAUGUUUUUUAAGAGAAUGCAAGCAUUAUUUUUAUGAGGUUUUGUUGUUUAAGAAAUUAAUCUAAUUUAUGUGAUUAAAAAAUCUCUUUAUUCUUUUAUAUUUUAGAAGAAUUAUAUGUUUGAAAAUGAAUAAAUUAAGAUCUAAAGGAGGAUGAAUUGAUUGAGAAGGAGAUAGAGAUAAUAAUUUUUUUAAAGAAUUUUAAAAUUAUUAUAUUUUAAUUAGGGCUUAUUAUAUAAAAUUAUUGAAACUUAUAAUUUUUAUUAUUUAUAAAAAAUAGCAGCUACUGAUGAAGAAAAUGUCGAAUUAAUUUUUUUGAAUUUUAAAAUUAUUAUAUUUUAAUUGGAGUUUACUGUGUAAGAUUUUUAAACUUAUAAUUUUUACUAUUUAUAAAAACAAUAAGACUGUUAAAGAAAAUGUCAAAAUUGAGUGUAUGGUACAAUUGAGGCAACAUAGGUUUGUCCGUUUGGUUUGUUUCGUUUUUUAACUUUUUAGUUUGUUACCUUUGCCAAAAACGCCUCGUUUUGGAAUGAAUCUUUGACUCCAAAAAGGCAAAAGAUCCUGCUUUUCUUUCAGAAGAGACCGCGUGUUUGCUUUCUGCCUCGGCUCUUCCUUCUUCAUCUUACGCACUUGACUUCCAUCAUCAUCAUCAUAUCAAUUGAAGAAAUUUCAACAAUCGAAAAAUUCAGUUUGAUUUUUUUUUCAGGUUUUGUUAUUAAUUAAUAUUCUGUUUAUUAAUACUGUAAAUUCUGUCUCUAUGUUUAUGGAAAUCAAUCGGAGUGAAUUUCAUUAGUUUAUGCAUUUCAUCAACGGAUUACUCCAGACAAAUAAUUUGAUUUUGUAGUAAUGGACAUGGUGUGUUGUUUUUAUCUCUUUAGAGCUAAUGCCAUGUCAUAAAUAGAAUUCUCACAAAAAAAAUCAGGUGUAGAUUGAAGAUAGGCAUUUAAAAUUUAGAUUUUGAAAUAUCUGAAUAUUAGAUAUCAAAAAUUAAUUAUCAUUAAUGGCAUAUAUUAUUAAGCAGUAACCUAUGCAAAACAACAUCAUCUUAUUUGUUAUGAGCCAUGGGAUAGAGUAAUGAAUUUGGCCGAAUGGACCAAUCACAUUACUCCGAGAUGAGCAAUAUAGUAAUUAAAUUAAUAUUAUAAAAUACUAUUUGCUUAAAGGAAUUUAGAUGGGGGUGAGAAAUCUCACCUCUAAAUACCAACCUUUCUUCCUAUUAUUAUUUUAAUCAAACGAUGGAUGGUAGCUGAGAUUUUGAUACAACUUUGCAUGUGACACGUCGUUCGCAACGUGCUGUCAAGAGGAACCCAUGCAAGAGGUCACGUUUGCAUACAAGCAUGCAACGGCCACUUAGCCAAAGAUGAAGCCGCGUUUGCAUGCAUGCAUGGAGUCACGUUUGCAUGCAAGCAUGCAAUGCCGACUUAGCUAAGUUCUUGUUCCAUUAUGGCCAAGCAAUCGGGAGUGAUAAUAACCACGUGCAGGAACGUCUCAUGGUUUAUGUUGUUUUUUUCUUUCCUUCAUGGACCAUUAAUUUCGGCAAUAGUUACUAAGUUGGGUGAAUGAUUUGUAUUUAUAUUCUUUGAAAUAAAUUAAAGAAAUAUAUCAAAUAUUUUCAAUGAAUUUUCAGUAUGGUUUUUUUUCAUCCUAAGAGAAUAUUUUUGCUAUCCUUUGCUAUCGUUAACGAACCUUUAACUGGGACCUAUCAGAUUCCAAUGUUUCGACUGCAAAAACUGCUCUAAUUGAAGCUUGCAUUGUCAAAUUUUUUAAUUAUAGAAGAUAUAUCUUUGACUUUUAAGUUUUAUUCUUAGCCAGUGUCAACAUAUACUUGCUUUGAAUAAAAGAGCUGUUAAUUUUUUUAAUUAUAUUUCUUCUCUCUUGUUUUUUUGGGAUUUUUCCGAUUAAUUUCUUACUAUGUUAAAAGAAAUAACGUUUCUAAGAUAUUAAUAUGGAACAGGAAUUCCUGAAUAAUUUCUCUGUGAAACGCUAAUUUUUCUAUUUAUUUUAUUACUUAUAAAGUGAGGAGAUGAGUAAAGCAUAAAUUGAUUUUUUUGGUCCUCUACCUAAUCAAAAUUGAAUAUAAAAAAUCUUUGAAGCCUCUACGUAUAUAUUUAUGUCCUUGUAUGCAUAUAUAAUUCAAAUUUCAACAAAAGUAUCAAAAGUUAUUUUUACGGUUUUUUUGUUUAAUUUCACAUCCCAUCCUAUACAUAAAUAAUAAUUAAAUAAUUUGCUUUUCCAAGGUUGGUGCGAGGGGAAAAUGAUCCUCUUCCUGUGACCUUUGUUCUCACUAUAAGGGGGCAAACCAACCCGACUUAUCCCCUGAAAGAUACAAAGUUAUUUUUUGCUAAUUAAUAUUCUUGUGACAUUAAAAUAAAAAAUAACUAAUACAUUUAUGGACUAAUCUUAAAUAUUAUGUUACUUUCAUAGAAUAUAUAAGUGUUGUGCAAAUUUUAAUAAACUAAAUAUAUAUGCGCAGCUUUGGGGUUCAUUGAAUUCGCCAAUGGAUUUUAUUUUAUUUUAUUCAUUAAUUUCCCUUCUUUCCAUAUACUAAAUAUAUGCUCUUAUAUAAUAAGUAACAAGAAUUAUUAAAAUUUGAUAUAUCUCAAUCUGAUCUUUUUGUUACCGCCAUAUUCAGACUUCAACGCAAGGGGGAGAAUUUUUUUAUUAUUGUCUAUUAUUGAAAUUAUUUAUUUUGGAGCCCCGUCAUUCCCGAUAAUAUUAUGUAUUAUCCAUAUUUCUAAUCACCUUCUUUUGUUGAUUUCUAUCUUUUUAGCCAAUUUGUUUUUAUUUUCUUUACUAUCUUGGAGUUUCAAUCUUAUCGCGAGUAAUUAUGCAAGAAACUUCGCUUGUUUGUUAAACAUUUGGAAUCUGAAAUUUUAUUAAUUUCGGGCCUUUUUCAAGUUUUGCUUUUUUUUUUUUGUAAAUUAUGUUUGAUUUUUAGAAAUUUACAUCAGAAUAGAAAAAAUAUAACUUUGUUGACUUUUAUCUAAAUGAAAAAAGGCGUGAAUAAGAAAUAAAUAUUAUAUUCCAAAAAUAUUUCUAAAAAUAUACUUAUUUGCUGAAUUAUAAGAUUUUUUCUAAUUUACAAGGAAAGAAAUGUCAAAUAAUCAUGUUUAAUAUGUUUUUUAUUUAUAAAAACAAGCAAAAUGUCACUUAUAUUCAAAUAUUAAAAAUAAAAAAUAAAUACGUCAUUUAGAUAUUUGUAUUCAUGCUCAUUCAAAUUUCAAAAAAAAAAUUAAAUUCAUUUAAAUCUAAUAAAAAAACCUAUCUUAUAAUAAAUAUGAUGGAUUAGGCAGCACACACAGUAUGCCACUCAACACUCACUUUGGUGAAUAAUUUCUCAAAGCCAGCAAAAGAUGGUAGUGAUUCUCAAAAACAUUUUGCGACCAACUGCUUCCAAAUUAGUCACUAAUAAUGUCCAAAUCAUCACAAAAAGAAGUAUCAAAAGUGUCGCUUUUGAUGUUCAAAUCAUUUCCGCCGAAAGAGUCAAAUCUUCAUUUCCAACGGAAAAACAUCUUCGAACCUAUAAACUUUCAUUGAUUGAUCAAAUUUAUUCUGAUGUUUACAUUUCCCUAGUUUUCUUCUACUCGGCCAAUUGUAACCACCAAGAUUUCAGGAAAAAAAACCUGAUUUGUUGAAGCAAUCUCUCCCAAAAAUCAUUAACCCACUAUUACCGUUUUGCUGGAAGAUUGAUUGAUAGUUUUUCAGUCGAUUGUAAUGACCAAAGGGCUGCAUUUAUUGAAGCUAAUGUUGGCUGUGUGUUGAAAAGUAAGCUUGUUGGGCACCGAAUUCGGUGCCUACCAAAGCUAAAUUUUCAAGUACAUAAUUUAUCCAAUUCAUCAAUUGGACAAGUUUUUUCAAUGCCUCAAUUUGGCUGGCUGGUGCAAAAUGAUCUCUAUAAAUAGAGAAGCAUUUUGCACUUGUUAGCGUCCCACAUUUUUUAAAACAAUUUUAAGUGAAGUAAUUUGAGAGAUUUGAGAGAGCUUUUACUUGAGUAUUUUAGUAAAAAUACAAUUGGUUGUUUUGUCGUUUUGGUUUUUUGAGUUUUUGGGUUUUGAGAGUUUUUCUUACUUUUGUAAAUUCUCAUUUAUUAGUGAAAUUAUCUUCAAGUCUUUGUCUAUAGACAUAGACGUUUAUGCCAAACCAUGUAAAUUAUUGUGUCUUAUUUUCUUUGCAUUUAUUUAUCACUACAAUUAUAUUUAUCCACAAUUCGCGACCACCAUAAUAUUAGUAACUACUCAACCCGCGCUUCUGUAACAAUUGAUAUCAGAGCAGAUGGUCCCUACUUGGGGUAAAUGACAUUGUUCACAUCUACAAUAUUGUUCAUGUAUAUGGUAUUGCUCAUGAAUACGGUGGACCUAACAGUCCGUACUUGGGAGUAUCAGAAGCCUACAAUGUAGUUGUGUGGAUAAAUGCAUGUCUGAGAAAGUUUUGUCAACAAGACAAUAAGAGUCUAAAGAGUAUGGAUUUCAAGUGGGACCGUUGAGACCCUCCAUUCUCCUGAGAACUUUCUUGGUGCAUUAUCUAUAUAAAUAGACACGUAGACAUUGUUCGUUCAAGUUAGGUAAUUAAAAAAAAGGGAUGGUAGAGGCAUCAUCUUCAUCUUUCUCAACAAAGACUACUGUGACUUCAAAUUUCGACCGUACUAAUAAUUUUGGUAUGUGGUAAUGUGAGGUGUUGGAUGUCUUAUAUCAAUAAGAGUUGUGUUAACAUGAAUAUGUUAAUAAUAUUGAUUUUGAUGAUAACAAACUUUAAAUGGUUUUUUAUAAAAUGUUGGAGCUAUUUCUUAAAUAAACGAAAGCCUUAUAAUCAUUCCAAUUAUAUUCAUAAAAGAUGGACUUUCAAAUUAGAAAAUGAUUCUCUGCAAAAUUUGGUUUAAAAUGUGAUUCUGAAAAUAAACGGUGAACCGUUUUAUUUUAAACGGUUAACCGAUUAAAACCAGAGAGCAACAUAUUGCCUAAGCUCUAACCGAUUAAGCAAAACGGAAAACGCAAAAAGUUGGGAAGGCUACUAGAAUUUAACGGUGAACCGUUUAUUUAAACGGUUAAUCGAUAAAAUCCAAAAUUGAAGAUUGUACUCAUCUGGCACCGAUUAACAAAACCGGAUAAGGCUAAUUUAUUUUGCAGGUUACUGGAAACAAACGGCGAACCGUUUAUUAAAAACGGUUAACCGAUAAUUUCCAGAGAGGUCAUUUCAUGAAAAUCCUUAACCAUUUAAUGUAAACGGAUAACUGAUGUUCAUCUUGCAGGUCUCUGGAAUUUAACGGCGAAAGGUUAACCCUAAACGGCAAACCGUUUAUUUAAAAAUUAGACCAACGGUAACAUUGACCAGAUGAAACGGUUAACCGUUAAUGCCUAACAGCGAACCGUUUUCGAGCAGACAGUCUAUAAUGGCUAGUUUUUUAGCUCCAGUUAUAAAUAAGCUCAUUCAAAAUCAAACAAGAUUGAUCACAACAUAACCAUUGAGCUUAUAUUCGAGAAUACAAUCUUCAUAGAGCUUUAAAACACAUUCUUGCUUCAUCUAUUCACACAUUGAGCAUUGAUUUGUAAUCUUAAAUAUUGUGUGAGAGAAAUUUUUUUUUUAAUCUUUUACUUUGAGUGAUUGUAAGUGUUGGGAUACACUUGGGUUAAGAGAUUGGGGAUAAUCUCUUGUUGUAAAGGUUCAUUGAUACCUUCGAAGUCAAGUGUAAGCAUUUGUAGCCUUGGAGGCUUGCUUAGUGAAAUCCUCAAGCCCAGAAAGCUUGGAGGCGUGGACGUAGGCGAGGUAGGCCGAACCACGUAAAAAUCUCCAUGUUUGAAUCUCUCUUCCCUUAUCUUUUUAUAUUGUAAUUGAUUUAAUUGUUAUUCCAUUAAAUUCAUUUUAGAUUUGCUUGAUAAUUUGUUUUAGAAUCAAAUAAUUUUUAGAAUCCAAAUUCACCCCCCUCUUGAGUUGCACACUUGUAUUUCAAGUUGGACCUCACUUUUGAAGAAAAACUUGACAAGAUAGAUGACAAGAAGUGGAUAAAGAUCAAUAGACAGGCAUAUGGCACUUCUCGCCUAUAUCUGGCUAAAGAUUAGAAAUACUCUAUUAUGAGGGGGAUAUCAGCAAAGAAAUUAUGGCAUAUGCUGGAAGAAAGGAACAUGAAGAAAAGCCUUGAAAAUAGGCUUUAAAUGAAGAAAAAACUCUAUUAAUUCACGUAUGCACCUGACAUGUUGAUAAAUGACCAUGUAAACUCAUUCAACAAGAUAUUGAUGGAUUUGCUAAAUUUGGAUGAGAAAUUUAAAGACAAAGAAAAGUCAUUGCUGCUGUUAAAUUCCAUUUCUAAUGAAUAUGAUCAUCUCACCACCAUCACUUUGCUUCAUGGGAAGAACAGUGUCACAAUAGAUAUUGUAUACAGUGCGUUGUAUAACUAUGAGACCAAAAAAAAGACAAAAAAGAUCACAACGAUACAGUUGUAGAGGCAUUGACAGCAAGAGAUCGUUCACAAAGUCGCAAACCUUCUAAAAGAAUAUAUGGCACGAAUUGGCAAAUGAUUCAACAAUUUCUAACUUCCUGAAAUUGUGAACUGAGAUCAAUCUGGGAUAAAUGAAAAUAUUGGCAAUAACGUCGUUUUACAUUGCACCUUUUUGUUUCCAUCGCACAGUUCAUUAAAGGAUCAGCAUAUAAAGCUACAAUUAACAUCUAACGUAGUGUUCAAAAGGUUGUUUUUCUGAUGGCAAGAAAAUAGCAGUUCUAAAAGAGAAGGUGAAAAAACAAAUAAUGACAGGCCGUUUUGAUCAUGAGUUACAAGCGUCACAAUUCAUGGUAUUUUCAUCACUCAUUUAGGGUGCUUUCAUCACUAUUGCUCGAGAAAAAAAAACAGCAAUUAAUAGCAAGUUGUACUCUCAUGCAGUGUAUUAAACUAUGAAUUUGCGAAGCAAACUGAAUCUACCAAUGAUUCCAUAAUGCAUAGGUAACAUUUUUCGGUUUGUAAAGGCAAAAUGGUCAAUAGCCGAGGAUGAUGACACAAAGUUAACAAGCUUAGUGAAAAAGUGAUCAAAGCAAAGAGAAAGGUAAGCAAUAUGAUGAAUAAUAUUGAAUACUUAGGUUUCAUGAAGGAUACAAAUAAAGCAUUGGAAGAUUCAAGGUCAUUUACUUUGACUAGUGUGGUUGCAUUGCUUUAUUAAGAAGCUGAUGUUGGUUGUGGGAAGCCUGUUUGGUUUAGUCUGUGGUUGAUGUCAUUACCUAACGCUGCCUUUUAUCAUACACAAUUGAUGGUGGAGUAGAAGCACGAAUGGUAUUAUAUGAGGAAGACAUGGACAAAUUUGGAAAAAAAAAAAACCUAGUAUCAUGGCUCAUGCUUUCUCUAAUCUAGCAUACUUAAAGGCUAAUUAAUCUUAUCCUUGAGUUCAUCUUGUGAAAUUAGGUUACUAAUUUCUAUUUUACUUGAAUUGUUUUAUAUGGUAUUCUAUUAUACAUUGUGAUAACGCAUCACCGUCAUAUCUUUCCUAAAGUUUAAUUUUACUGAAGGAAAAUCGAGAAAUGGAUUGUUCAAAUCAAAUAUUCAUUACUAGAGAUGGCCAAUGGGUCGAGCCAGUCAUCAAAGGAAGGCCCAUGUAUGCUCGUGCUCAUGUCAUGUUAUGUCGACUAUGUGUUUCGUACCAUCCCGUGUCGUACCUAAUUCAUUUUGCUUAGGCCUAGCCUGGCACACGUGUUGUGCCAUAGGCCAUAUCAUGUUGUGCCUAAGAAAAAAAAAACCUAAUGGAUUUUUUCCUUUUUUUAAUUUUUUAAGUAAAACUGGGCGAAAGAAUUGAGGCUUAGGAAAAACCAAACCGAACCAAUGGUUAUGUUUGGGUUCGGACCGAUUUUAAUUUUUAUAAAUAUCUGAAUAUCCAAUUUAUAAGAAAAAAACUGAAAUAUUGGUUCAAAUUUUGGUUCAUUCAGCUGAACUGGAUAACUGUAAUGUUUUUGUAAUUUUUCCAAAUCGUGAAAUGUGUGAAAUGUUAAUUGGCUAUGUAAAAUGAUUACAAUAGACAUGCCCACACAUGACUAUUAUUUUUAUUUGUAUUUACAACUUUAAGUUUAUUUAAAUGGAUCAUUGGAGUCUAGAUUUGUAUUCUUAAAUCUUAAUAUUUCAUAUUUUGUUAGUAGUAGUUAGUUAGACUGUAAUGAUAAGUGUGUUUUGAAUAUUUUGUAUUUAUUGUUAGUAUUCGUAAUGAAACUAUGAAGAACUGAUUACUGAGAAAAUUACUCCAUUAAUGAGGCCCAACGGACUAAGAAUUUAGAAAUUCAAAAUAGGCCCAAUAGGCCUAGGAUAAAAAAAACCAAACCCUGACCAAAUGAAUCGAUUCAUAUUCGAUUCUUUAUUGUAUUCGAUUUUUAAUCCGUUCUUUUUAUAAAAUAACCAAUUUUAAUAAGUUAUGCUCAAUCUCAAUCUGAGUCGAACUGUGCCCACCCCUAUUUUUAAGUGCGCAUGCCAAGUUGUCGAUGUACUUUUUUCAAGCCUAUAUACUUUUUUUGGGUCCAUGUACCUUUAUUCAAAUUUAAUAUAAUCGAAAAUUCAAAACUCAACUCCAUUUUCAAUAAUAAUAAACUAAUAAUAAUAAGAUAAUAUAAUAUUAAUUACUAAAUUUGACCUUAUGGUAUUAUAAUUCUUUUUUAAUACUUAACAACAACUAUAAUAAUAAAAUUUUCUUGAGUUAACUUAAAUGUUAACUUAGACUUAUAUAGAGUCAUACAUCAUAUUUCACAAUAAUAUUAAUACAUAUUUAUAAAAUCAUGAUAUUUAUAAUUUUAUUUAUUAAAAUCAUGAUAUCAAUUAUUUAUUUAAUAAAUUAUAAACACAAAUCAAUUAUAGUAUUUUUUUAAACUAAGAAUUAAAUGAAUUUAAAUGAUUCAAUUUUAAUUUAUUAGUAAAAUCAUAAAAUUUUAAAUUUACUUUCACUAAAAAGUGAAACGUGCUUAUUGUGGGCUUUUCACUUUAUUUAGAAUUAAGCCGACUUUCCUUCUAUGUACAAUUUUCUUUAUUAAUUAAAUUAAAUUAGUUGGAUUAAUAAUUAAAAAAUAAUCAUGUGAACCUAUUAAUUAAAAAAUCAUACAAUCGCUAUAUCGAUAGCGAUACAGAUACUUGUACAAACUUUUUAUUAGAGCUGACAAAAUUUGUCACGACUCGAUUAUCCGACACGAACACAACACAAAUAAAUGGGUAUGGGUCAUCAAAUUUAACACGAUUAUUAAAUGGGUUGGGUCCGGGUCAACGCAAUUUUUUUCUAUGUCGGGUUAGGGUUAAAGUUCUUGAUCUAUUUACCCAAUCAAUGACCCGACUAUAUUUUUUAUUUUAAAAUAAUUUGUAAGUUCUUGUUAUCAAAACUCAAAUAUUAGAGAUGAUUCUCUCUUUUAUUUUUAUUUUUAUUUUUUGAAAAGAUGAAUAUAAACACAAUAUUUUAUUUAUAAAAUUUUAUAUACAUUUAGAGCUUCAAUCAUGUAAUUAUGUAAAUGUGUAAAAUAUUGUUAGACAUGUAUGUAUGUGAGUAGUUUUCUAGUCCAAGAUCAUUAAGUGUGGGAAACAUUCGGGAAAAUUUUAAAACCGCGGGGUUUUAAAGGUUUAAAACUUAAAGCGCUUAAACCGCACGAUUUAUACAUUUUCCUGGACGUUCCCGCACUUUAAUAUUCCGGACUGGAACAUAUAUAUAUAUAUAUAUAUAUAGUAGUUUUCCAAUUAGGGAUCCCAAAUUUUAAUAAAGUCAGAGAUUAGCUAAAAGAUAAAAAAAUUUAGAUUUUAAUACACUACAUGACAAAAUACAAUGUAUUAGACUCUAUAUAUAUUUUUUCUUUUAGUUAAUCCCUGGCUUUAUUAAAGUCAGUGAUCCUUGAUUGGAAAACUAUUAUACAUAUAUAUAACUUUAAUAGUGUAAAUGUGUAAUAUUUUGGUAGAUAUUUAUAUUUUAUAAUAUCGAUAAAUUAUGUAUGUACGACAGUGUGUAAAUAUUUGAUAUAAAUUUUGUUUAAUAUAUAGAUAUUAAGCGGGUUAUUGGGUAAUCCGAUUAUUUUCCCGUGUUGGGUUUAGGUCUCAAUAUUUUGACAAGAUUAUUAAAUGGGUCGGAUUUAGAUCGAUCUAAAUUUGACACGACACGAAGUUGAUACGACACGAACACAACCCGAUAACCCGUUUUACCAGCUCUACUUUUUAUGUACGAAUAAACUAAUAUGGUAAUAAACAAUUAAGUGGAUAAUAAUAUAAAAUUGAUUUAUUAAAUGAAGUCGAUCCGUAUGAAUAUUAUCCAACAAUAAUAUAUCCCAUAUCUUUACCCACAAAUGUACAGAAUAGUCAGACUAGGAGCAGCGACCACACGCUGGUAGAUCGUGCCAGGCUAUAAAAUCUCAUCAGCUUCUCUACAUUAUAUGUAAAAAAUAAAAAUAAAAAUAAAAAAAAGAAGAGAGGGGGGAGAGAGAGAGAGAGAGAGAGAGAGAGAAUUGAUCCUUUGGUUGCAUAUAAUAUAUUUAGCAUUAAUCUGACACAACGGUACACAGUCGGCCUUCCUUAUAAUGUUAAUUUACAUUGUUUUUUGUUGACGUUAUUUCACCCGCAAGCUAUUUACGUUUGUCGUAUGUAUAUAUGACACGGAUUUCACAGACAAGAAGCCACUCACUUUUUGAUUUUCUGAAAGCACAAAGAUGUCAAUGAUUAUGAGAAGCAUUUUCCAAAAUAAACCAAUUUCCAAAACUGUCAUCAAUUUCCAAAUCAUCACCUCAAGAAGAAGACUCAAAACCGUCAGCUGCGCCAUGGACGAUGUUCAAAUCAUUUCCACCGAAGCUAUCAAGCCUUCGUCUCCAACUCCAAAACAUCUUAGAACCUAUGAACUUUCUAUGCUUGAUCAAAUGUUUUCUAAUUUAUACAUGCCCUUUGUUUUCUUCUACUCAGCCAAUAAGCACCAAGAUUUCAGGAAAAAUUCUGAUUUUCUGAAGCAAUCUCUGGCAAAAACAUUAACGCACUACUACCCGUUAGCUGGAAGAUUCGUUGAUAGCUUUUCAGUUGAAUGUAAUGAUCAUGGAGUUACGUUUAUUGAAGCUCAAGUUGGCUGUGAUAUGUCAAAGUUUCUUCAACCACCGAAUAUGGGUGUGAUGCAACAAUUAAUCCCACCAAGCCCACAAUCAUUGAGAUUAGAGGCUUCUGAAAGAGCGCUUUUGGCUGUUCAAGUAAAUUAUUUCAGUACCGGUGACGUGGCAAUUGGUAUCUGUAUAUGGCAUGGAUUGGCAGAUGGUUCAGCAAUCUCCAACUUCAUGAAAUUGUGGGCUGAGAUCAAUCGUGGAGUAAAUGAAAAUAUUUGCAAUAACGUCGUUUUAGAUUGCACCUCUUUGUUUCCUCCGCACAGUUCACUGAAGGAUCAGCACAUAAAGCCACAGUUAACAUCUAAAGUUGUGUUCAAAAGAUUGUUUUUUGAUGGCAAGAAGAUAGUGGCUCUAAAAGAGAAGGUGAACAAAGAAAUAAUGGUGGGCAGUUUUGAUCAUGAGUUACAAGCAUCGCGUUUCAUGGUUGUUUCAUCACUCAUUUGGGGUGCUUUCAUCGCUGUGGCUCAAGAAAGAAAGAGGGCAAUUAAUAACAAGUUGUACUCUCAUGCAAUGUAUUAUACUAUGAAUUUGCGGAGCAAGAUGAAUCCACCAAUGAUUCCACAGUGCAUGGGUAACAUUUUUCGGUUUGUAAGGGCAGAAUGGCCACUAGUCGGGGAUGAUGACAUAGAGGCAACAAGCUUAGUGAAAAAAGUGAUCAAAGCAAAGAGAAAUGUAAGCAAUGUGAUGAAUAAUAUUGAGUAUUUAGGUUUCAUGAAGGAUAUGAAUGAAGCAUGGGAAGACUCAAGAUCAUUAACUUUAACUAGUGUGGUUGGAUUGCGUUAUUAUGAAGCUGAUUUUGGUUGGGGGAAGCCUGUUUGGCUUAGUAUCGGGUCGGUGUCAUUACCUAAUGCUGCUCUUUUAUCAGAUACAAGUGAUGGUAAAGGAGUAGAAGCAUGGGUGGUAUUAUACGAGGAAGACAUGGACAAAUUUGAAAAAAAUCCUAGCAUCAUGGCUCAUGCUUCCUCUAAUCCUAGCAUACUUAUAGCAAAGUAGCAAAGUGACGAUAUUUAUCUUGUUUUGAAUUUAAAAGAGUGGUUAGUUAAUUGUAUUAUUUUCUCUUUGUUUCUUUAUGAUUUUAAUCUAUCUAUAUAUCUAUAUAAAGCUGGAAUUUGAGGAGGUGAUGUGGCAUCACCAUUUCUUAUCUUUGUAUAUUCUCUAUUAUCUAAUAAAUAGAGAAAUUUUCUUUUAGAUUUGACUUUUCAUCUUCUCAUAAUUAAUUUUAUUGUUAUUACACAAUAACAAUUAUGUAAAGAUUUUAAUGAGGCACAUUCUUUGUAAUGAACAUCCAAGGAGGAGUGUUAUGAAUUUAUUAAAAUAAAUGUAGAUAUUCAUAACAUAUAUCUCUUAGUCUCCCCACUAUUUCCCAUUAGCAACAUUUAGCUUUCCUAUAACUCACACUAUCUCACAAGGAAUUAUGAUCCAUAAUUUUUCAUUAAUUUCAUGGAGUGAUUAUGUAACUAUAAAAUAAGAGCUCAUCUUUUUGUUUUGCACACACACAAUUGGAAUGAAUAAAAUCACUCUAUAAUAUAUUCUCUCAUUUUAUUCUUUAUCUUGCGUUGCUUCUUUAUUUGUAUUGCUGGCUAAUAGCUUUUUUUUAUUUUUUAUAAGGCUGCCUCAUCUUUAAAAAAAAUCAAUUCAUAUUUUUUAUUAGUUUCAUCAAGUGUAAAGUAAAAAAAAAGAAUAAUACUAAAUUAUUUUUUCAAAGCCGCAUGAAACGCGGUUCUAUUUUUUAGUUAUGUUAUAAUGUUCACUCAAAUGCUACUGCAUGUAACUAGCUAAAUGGUUAUAUAAGCCUCCAAGUGAUGAUGAAUAAGGGACAUCAUUUAUCUUCAAUAUGAAUUUAGAUCUAUUGCUAAAUUUUUAAUAAAAUUAAGAUUUAAUUACAUAUUAUUUCUUAUUCAAUUUCUUAUUCAAUGAUUACCAAUCAUUGAAUCCAAAUCCUUUGUAUAUAAUCUCUAACAAUUGUGCUGUUUCAAGGUUAAUUAAAGUUUACAAUUUAUUAAGUGAUCAUGAAUACUGAUAUUUACGUACGAGAAUUUUUCAGUAUGGCGAUAAAAUCAAGGUUGACAGCGGUUACCAUCAUGAAAAAAUAUAUUAAAAUCAUAUGAAAUUUCGAUAGUUAAAAAUAAUUAAAAAAAAACGCUAAGAUCAUAUAAUUUUAUCACUGUUUUUGACACUCUUCUGAUACACUCUGGAUAAAUAUUUUUUCAUUGAUCAAUAAGAUCACCUAGCUACUAAUAUCUAUAAAAACAAUCAAACCGUUAUUUGCGUCCUCACACUUCUUAUUGUACUCUUCUUACACAAAAAGUCUGAAUGCAUGGGUUUUCAGCCUAUUUAUGAACAACAAUCAACCCAUUUCCCUCUCCCCUGUGCCUUUAAAAAGACAAUUGCUAUUUAUCCCCUCCUUCUGUCUCAUGAAUCCCCACUUUCAUUCACUUGUUAGAGAAAUUUGUAAAUGGGUAUAGAAAAAUAUCAAGAGGACGCAUAAAAUAAGUCACAUACCAUACAACAGAGAGAUACAACAAUUUAAAUGAUUUAUCUUGAAUUGGGCUGCAUAUUGAUAAUUAAUAAAUUAAUUUGAAAUUCUCUUAAAUAAAUAACAAAUAAAUAUAAUAAAUUACAAAUUGUUCUUUGUUAUUUUAAUUGACUUCACUAUAAUUUUUUUAAAAAGAAAUUACGAAGAAUUACAUAUUGAAGACCACAGGUCCAACUAUAUUAUUUGGAAGUUAAAAUUGAAGUUAAGAAGCAUUGCUCUUGCUAGCAAUGGCACAAUUCAUCAAGGGACUUUCUGUUCCAAUGAUUUUAUUUGAAAGUUGAAAUUGAAGCAAGCAUCUAAAAUUUUGAUUUUGAAAGCUCUAAAGAUUAGAAAUUAAGUUUCAUAAUCAUUAAUCUUUAAUAAUAUUGUCCUUUUCAAAAGAGCUCAAAAUUUUAUUUCAAAUUUCAUCUCAAAUAAUGUGGUAUAUAAUGUGUCAUUCAUUAAGUGAUUGAUGAUUUUUUUCUAAAAUCUAAGUGGACGAAUAGAUUAGUCACAUUAUCCUUAAAUGAUCAAUAUAGAUUAAUGAAAUAAUAUUAUAAAAAACUAUUUGCUUAAAGGUUGGGACGGGGAUAAGAAAUCACGCCUCACCCUCUAAAUACCAACCUUUGAAAGCUCUAAAGAUUAGAUAUUAAGUUUCAUAAUCAUUAAUCUUUAAUGAUAUUGUCCUUUUCAAAAGAGCUCAAAAUUUUAUUUCAAAUUUCAUCUCAAAUAAUGUGGUAUAUAAUGUGUCAUUCAUUAAGUGGUUGAUGAUUUUUUUUCUAAAAUCUAAGUGGACGAAUAGAUCAGUCACAUUAUCCUUAAAUGAUUAAUAUAGAUUAAUUAAAUAAUAUUAUAAAAAACUAUUUGCUUAAAGGUUGGGACGGGGAUAAGAAAUCACGUCUCACCCUCUAAAUACCAACCUUUCUCCCUAUUAUUAUUCGAAUUCUGGUGAUCACAUAUGCAAACCGUACUCACAACCAACCUAGCUAUGUCCGAUAGACUAAUUAAUCUUAUCCUUAAGCUCACCAUAUGAAAUUAGUUACGAAUUUCUAUUUAACUUGAAUUGUUUUAUAUGGUAUUCUAGCAUUCCUUACGACGGAGCAUCCCUACCAUAUCUUUUACUAAAAUUUAAAUUUAAUGGAGAAAAUUUGAGAAAUGAAUUCUUCAAAUAAAAAAUUUAUAACAUUAAACUUUUAAAUCCAAUAUAAAAACAAAUUCGUAGUCACAUAUUCUCCUCACAAAGCAAUGAAAAAAUUCUUGAGCUCUUUACUUGCUCCAUCUUUUCUCUAGAGUACACAAAAUUCUAGCAAAAAUUUACAAAAUAGUCAUGGUAUUAGAACUAUUAUCAUUUGCUCUACCAAAUUUCACUACAGAUAAGUGUGCCUUACUUGGAGCAAAAAUUGCAUUGAUCUCAAAAAAAAAAAAAACAAAAAAAAACAUUUCAAUGUUGCGAGAAGCAAUAAAUUUAUUAGAGAAAUCGUGCCAUUAUCGAAUUAGCGAUAUACCAGAUUUCACUUCCAUGGAAAGUCUAGAAAAUUUUUUAGUUGCCUGGUGCUCAUAUGCUAAUUGAUUCUCUUCACUGUCGUCCAGGCCAUUGGAAACGAAUCAAACGAUGGAUGGUGGGUGAAAUUCCAAUGUUUUGACUAAAAAAGCUGCUCUAAUGGAAGCUUGAAUUGUCGAACUUUUUUAAUAUAUUUGACUUCUAAGUUGUUUGCUGAGUACUUAGGAGUAUAAAUAACAAUCCAUUGGUUUUGAGUGAGAUGAAUAUAUUUUUUUGCUAGCAUCAACAUGUGCUUGUUUUGAAUGAAAGAGUUGUUAAUUCGUUAAUUAUAUUUCUUCUCUCUUGUUUCUUUUCCUGAUUUUUCCGAUUGAUUUCUUACAAUGUUAAACAAAAAUAACGUUUCUAUUAUAUUAAUAUGGACGUAGGACUUCUUAAAUAAUUUCUUUGUGAAACGUUAAUUUUUUUAAUUUAGUUUAUUACUUAUAAAGUUAGGAGUGAAUAAAGUAUAAAUUAAUUUUUUUCUCUCUACCUAACUCUGAAUUUGAAUAUAAAAAAUUUAUCCUCUCAUAUUUCAGCAAAAGUAUCAAAAGUUAAUUUUAUGACUUUUUUUGUUUAAUUUCACAUCUUAUCAUAUAUAUAAACACUAACUAAAUAAUUUUCUUUUCCAGGGUCGGGUUUGAAGGGAAAUUGAUCAUGUGACCUACUUUUUUUACUACAAGUGGCAAAACAACUCGACUUAUCCCCUAAGAGAUACGAGAGUUAUUUUCGUUGGUUAAUAUUCUUAUGACAUUAAAAAAAAUAACUAGUAUAUUUAUGGACAAAUCUUAAAUAUUUGUGUUACUUUACUAGAAUUUUAAGUGUUGUGAAAAUUUUAGUAAACAAGAUAUAUAUAUAUAUAUAUAUAUAUAUAUAUAUAUAAGGGAAUGGUUUUUUUAAUUAAUGUAAUAAUUUUUUACUUUAAAAAGUGAUAUUUUUUUUGUCUAAUCUAAUUAAAUAUGAGUAAUGAUAUAGUUAUAAAUUCUUAUAUAAAUUUAUUUUAUACAAAUUGAUGUGGCGUUAAUUCAUUGGUUUAAUUAAAUAUCUAUUGACCCAUAUGAUUUAUUUAUAUUAUUUUAUAUUUUUAUUCAAUCAAUGAAUUAAUACCAUAUUAAUUUAUAUAAGAUAAAUUUAUACAAAAAUUUAUGAUUAUAUCAUUACUCAUUAAAUAUUAUAAUAUUAACGGUGAAUUAACAUAGUAGAAAAGUAUUUAUCUAUUAAAUAAGGCAUACCACACAAGUGAAAUGAAAAUACCAUAAGCCAUAGGGGAGGUGAGCGAUAAAUUUCCGUUUCUUCUAGAAAGAAUAAAAAGACAAUGCAAGAAAAUUUACCCGAGCAGGGAGAUACGGUGAUUAUUUCAAUGUUAACAAAAUAAGGGAAGUCAAAAUUUUUAGCAGUUGAAAGUUUUGUAUAUGGUUUUUUAUUUUUAUUUUUCUUUAUGUUUUAAAGAUUAUUUCAGAGUUUAAAAAAAAAAAAAAAAGUAAUUAAUACGAAUCUAAAAGUUGUCGUUUUAUAAAUUUUUUAAAGAAAGUGUGCAGCGCGUUUUUUCAUGUUUUAUUAGUAGCUUUUUCCGCGAGAAUGUCAACCGAACACGUUUUUCCCAUCAAUAUUCCCCUAAAAAAGAAACGGCCCUCCAUUUUCCUGGAAAAAAACCAACACAAUUUUCCAGCCGUCCAAAGGGUUAGCGAGACUUGAAACGCACGGUUUCCACUCUCCCCCAAUUUUAUUCAAUCAUGACCUGAACAUCAAUACGUUAUUGAAAAGUAAUUAUCAUAAACUCAUCCUUUUAUUAAUGGAGUUUGAAUCUUAAAGACUUUUGAUAGAUUAUGCAAAAUGGAAAGAAAACGAAGUGGCGGACGAAUCAAAAUACUGAAAAUUGAUGAGGUAUGUAAUUUGAAUGCAUAUUAUGGGGCAUAAUAAUAAGGGUCAAACAAAGAACCAAAUCACCUUUAGUUUAUGGUAGUCAUGGUACGUCAAGAUCGAAAGCAACAUGAUAUAGGCAUCUUUAAUUAACAAAUAAAAUAUGACUAAAGUCGUCGUGGAGGUCUCUUGUUGGGUUAUUGCUAAGCAAAUCCGCAUGCAGAAGGUGCUGGGCCUGCUUAUUAAUUAAAUGAAAGGCGGAUUUAUCUCCCUGUUCAACAUGUUCUCGAGCUCUCAUUUGUCCUUGACUUCAUAAUCGCUUUAAACAAAGUAGAUGAUAAAAAGCUUAUUUCAUUUAUUCCGCAUUAAUACGCACCGUUUGAUCGGUCUAAAGCAUAGAAAGGUUGAUAAAAAAGAUGCCGAUUGGGUUACAUUAAACACGGUCAUUCCUAAACCAAUCCAAUGGAAGGAUGUCAAUCUUCCAGAGGAAUGGAUCCUUGAAGGAGCCGCUCCACCAGCGAUUCCGAAACAACUUGAGCCCAAUACAGAGUUGCAAAAUGUGACUCAGUAUACUCAGUAUUCCGAUGGUAAAGUGAAACUAUCAUUCAGGAGAUCUACCUCAUCUAGAUUUUUUGAUAAAGCGUCGUGCUCAAGCAUUCCUUCAUUAGAAAGGAAAUUUACAAAAAUACCCUCUGUUAUAAAUCUCCAUUUUCAGUCCAUAAAAAGUCAACCUAGGUUUUCUACUUCAGAUAUACCUAGUACCUCCAUUCGAUCAGUUGAUUACACCACUAGUGUUCCUCAUCCGAUUUACACUAGUAAUCAACAUGUACAAAGUCAGGAAGAGAAGGAACAUUCUCCUCCAACUUCCCCUACGUUUUCUGCUGUUACAGAAAAUGUCAUUAAUGUCAUUGAAAAAGAAUUUGAAUUAGAUAAAACUUUUCUGCAUAAUGAUUUUUAUUCUGAUUUAAACAAAGAAAAAAGACUUUGGUUUUUCAAACACUUUUUAAACCAAAGAAAAGAAAUCCAACAAACUUACUAUGAAUUUGUGAAUUUUCAUAAAAUUCAUAUAUUGUUUUUUGAUUGGUUUGAGAUAUAUUCUUCUGAUAACAACAUCUCUUAUCCUUUUAAAGAGUCAAACCCUAUUACUAUUAGGAAGAAAAUCCCUAAAUGGAAACUUCUUGAUAGUGAUAGAACUAUAGAGUCUGAACACCCACCUCUUCGGAGUGUAACCGUUGAUCACGGUGAACCUCCUGUCCAAAUUCGAGCUUCGCAUUACAAAAUUCCAAAAACAAAUGAUUCUGAGGCAAAUUUAAGUAGUAUUAUCCAACAGAAUAAUUUCUGUAAUACUAACUUAAAUACAAUCGGAAAGCAGUUGACUAGGAUAGAAAACCAAAUCCAGAAGUCAACUAUUACUGUUCCAUCAAUUUCUCCUAUUCCAACAAAAUCGGAUUCUGACAAAAAGCUUAAGGAACCUAUUUUCAAACCCCUUCAGGUUUCGAAAACUAGCCAAAAGCUUGUUCAAGAGUCAAAAUCAGAUUUUGCUAAAGCCAUUAGAGAACAAUUAGAUAGGAUAGAAGCUGCUUCUUCCUCAUCUAGCAAAGUUCAGAUAGCCCCUGAUACUCCUCAAUCUAGCAAGAUUGGAGUAUUAGAACAAGACCAAAUGUCUAUAGCCUCUUCUGAUAUAGAAGCCUUCAAAGAAGAACCUUCUACUCCUAAAGCCAACAAAAUUCAUUGGGAAUUAGCCCUUCCCACUGUCAAGACUCCACCGGAUCUAGCAAUAGAUAAUAGACCAAGUGCAUUAAAUCAAUCCCGAUAUAAUGCAUCUUCAGUCUAUGAGUGGAAUAUUGACAGUAUGUCUGAAUACAAUAUCCUAGGAUAUUGUAAUGGCGAAUGUUCUAAACCUCGCAAGAAACAUUACAAAUCUAAACAUUUUAGAAAACCCAUUCGUAAUUUUAGAGAACUUCCUUAUAAGAAACCUUCGAGGCCUUAUAAGAAACCCAAAUUCUCUAAAAGAAAAGAGUUUAGAGCCAAACCAAAGACCCCUUUCAAUUACAAAGAAGCUAUAUGCCAUAAAUGUGGNNNNNNNNNNNNNNNNNNNNNNNNNNNNNNNNNNNNNNNNNNNNNNNNNNNNNNNNNNNNNNNNNNNNNNNNNNNNNNNNNNNNNNNNNNNNNNNNNNNNNNNNNNNNNNNNNNNNNNNNNNNNNNNNNNNNNNNNNNNNNNNNNNNNNNNNNNNNNNNNNNNNNNNNNNNNNNNNNNNNNNNNNNNNNNNNNNNNNNNNNNNNNNNNNNNNNNNNNNNNNNNNNNNNNNNNNNNNNNNNNNNNNNNNNNNNNNNNNNNNNNNNNNNNNNNNNNNNNNNNNNNNNNNNNNNNNNNNNNNNNNNNNNNNNNNNNNNNNNNNNNNNNNNNNNNNNNNNNNNNNNNNNNNNNNNNNNNNNNNNNNNNNNNNNNNNNNNNNNNNNNNNNNNNNNNNNNNNNNNNNNNNNNNNNNNNNNNNNNNNNNNNNNNNNNNNNNNNNNNNNNNNNNNNNNNNNNNNNNNNNNNNNNNNNNNNNNNNNNNNNNNNNNNNNNNNNNNNNNNNNNNNNNNNNNNNNNNNNNNNNNNNNNNNNNNNNNNNNNNNNNNNNNNNNNNNNNNNNNNNNNNNNNNNNNNNNNNNNNNNNNNNNNNNNNNNNNNNNNNNNNNNNNNNNNNNNNNNNNNNNNNNNNNNNNNNNNNNNNNNNNNNNNNNNNNNNNNNNNNNNNNNNNNNNNNNNNNNNNNNNNNNNNNNNNNNNNNNNNNNNNNNNNNNNNNNNNNNNNNNNNNNNNNNNNNNNNNNNNNNNNNNNNNNNNNNNNNNNNNNNNNNNNNNNNNNNNNNNNNNNNNNNNNNNNNNNNNNNNNNNNNNNNNNNNNNNNNNNNNNNNNNNNNNNNNNNNNNNNNNNNNNNNNNNNNNNNNNNNNNNNNNNNNNNNNNNNNNNNNNNNNNNNNNNNNNNNNNNNNNNNNNNNNNNNNNNNNNNNNNNNNNNNNNNNNNNNNNNNNNNNNNNNNNNNNNNNNNNNNNNNUGUUUCUUCGAUUUCUCCUAUUCCACCAAAAUUGGAUUCUGACAAAAAGCUUAAGGAACCUAUUUUCAAACCCUUUCAGGUUUCGAAAACUAGCCAAAAGCUUGUUCAAGAGUCAAAAUCAGAUUUUGCUAAAGCCAUUAGAGAACAAUUAGAUAGGAUAGAAGCUGCUUCUUCCUCAUCUAGCAAAGUUCAGAUAGCCCCUGAUACUCCUCAAUCUAGCAAGAUUGGAGUAUUAGAACAAGACCAAAUGUCUAUAGCCUCUUCUGAUAUAGAAGCCUUCAAAGAAGAACCUUCUACUCCUAAAGCCAACAAAAUUUAUUGGGAAUUAGCCCUUCCCACUGUCAAGACUCCACCGGAUCUAGCAAUAGAUAAUAGACCAAGUGCAUUAAAUCAAUCCCGAUAUAAUGCAUCUUCAGUCUAUGAGUGAAAUAUUGACGGCAUGUCCGAAUACAAUAUCCUAGGAUUGUUGCAACAAAUAACAAUGGCAGCCAAUGCCUAUAAAACCCAAGCAGAAACUUCUGAUCGUGCUAUAUCAGAAAUCCUCAUUGCCGGUUUUACUGGUCAAUUAAAAGGUUGGUGGGAUCAUCUUCUCACUAAUCAGCAACAAUUAGACAUUCUAAAUUCAAUUCAAGUCGAUGAAAAUGGAGUCCCUAUUCUUGAUGAGUUCAACAAUCCAAUUCAGGAUGCUGUUGCUACUCUAAUUUUAACCAUUUCCCUCCAUUUCAUUGGUGACCCUUCACACCUUCGUGAUAAAAACGCUGAGUUACUACAUAACUUAAGAUGUAGGAAACUUAGUGAAUUUCAAAGUUACAAAACCUCAUUCUUUACCAGACUAUUUCUAAGGGAUGAUGCAAAUCAUAUAACUUGGAAAGAAAAAUUUCUUGCUGGAUUACCUACCCUUCUAGGUGAAAAGGUAAGAAAUUCCAUUAAAGCCCUUUAUGAUAACCGUAUUCCUUAUGAUGAGCUCACCUAUGGUGAACUCGUCAGUUUUGUCAAUAAAGAAGGAUUAAAGAUUUGUCAAGAUUUGAAAUUACAGAAACGACUUAAGUGGGAGCUUAAGAAGUCUAAACAAGAAUUAGGCGGUUUCUGUAAACAAUUCAAUUAUGACCCCUUUAAAACUUCUUAUCCCAAAGAUUGUAAUGGAGAGUGUUCUACUAAACCUCGCAGGAAACAUUACAAAUCAAAAACUUUUAGGAAACCCUUUCGUAAUUUUAGAGAACCUCCUUAUAAGAAACCUUCGAGGCCUUAUAAGAAACCCAAAUUCUCUAAAAGAAAAGAGUUUAGAGCCAAACCAAAGACCCCUUUCAAUUACAAAGAAGCUAUAUGUCAUAAAUGUGGCAUGAAAGGUCAUACUGCAAAUUAUUGCAGGAUGAACAAAAAGCUUCAUGAACUUGACCUCGCUGAAGAGAUCCUUUCCAAAUUAGCCCCCCUUCUUGUCGAAUCUUCUAAUUCCGAAUCUUCCAUGUCGGGAGACAGUGAUCCAUAUCAAGUUGAUGAGCUUUUUGACUCAGAUGACUCUGUAUCUAGCAGUAGUGAGUUUGAAUCUGAUUCAUAUUUAAAGAAAAUCAAUGUUUUGACUAAAGACCAAGAAACUUUUCUUGAACUUGUAAAGCAUAUUUCUGAUCCAAAUCUUCAAAAAGAAUAUCUUGAUAAACUUUUGAAAACUUUAGAUUUUAAUAAAGCCGAGACUUCUAAAGUCCCAAUUGUUAAAAAGAAUUCUUAUGAUCUUACUCAAAUUUUGGAUAAAAAGAAAACAAAGAAAACGGUUCCUAAUAUCCAAGAUCUUUAGAAAGAGAUAAAAGAAAUCAAAUGUGAAAUUAGAGAUUUAAAAGAAAAACAAAAAAGUGAUUCUGAUACUAUCCAACUUCUUUUACAAAAACAAUUGCAGGAUAAUUCAGACAAUGAAUCUAGUCCUGAUGAUGGUGAUGAUAUUAAAGUAGAAAAUAUUGAGUCUGUACCCAAUGAUUUUCUAUUUGUUUUAAAGCAAAUCACCACAAGAAAGUAUUUGAUUAAAGUCACUUUAAUCUUUUCUGAUGAUUUUGCAAUGGACGCCAUUGCCCUUUUUGAUACUGGCGCCGAUUUAAAUUGCAUUAGAGAAGACAUCGUCCCCAAAAGAUUUCAUGAAAAAACAAAAGAAAGACUUUCUGCCGCUAAUAAUUCAAAACUGAAUGUCAGUUCCAAGGUUGAAGCCUCAAUCCAUAAUAAUGGUUUUGAUUUUAAAACUUCUUUUGUCCUCACAAAUGAUAUUCAUCAUGCCAUCAUUUUGGGAACUCCUUUUAUAAAUCUUAUAACUCCAUAUACUAUCAAUUAUGAUAGUAUAUCCUUCAAAUAAAAAAAUAAGAAACUUGUUUUCCCUUUUAUUGAAAAACCUAAAACAAGGAAUUUGAAUAUUGUUAAAGCCUGUUCUGUUUAUCAAAACAGAAUAAAUAACCUACUUAAAUCAAAACAGUGUGAUAUAAUGUUUUUACAAAAAGAUUUAAACUUACAAAGAAUUGAAAGCCAAUUACAAAGUGAUUUCAUUAAAAGAAAGAUUUCUGAUUUCAAAACUCUCAUUGAAAAAGAAAUUUGUGCUGAUCUACCUUCUGGUUUUUGGGACAGAAAACAACACAUGGUAGAUCUACCUUAUGAAACUUCUUUUAAUGAAAGACAGAUCCCCACUAAAGCACGUCCAAUCCAGAUGAACAUGGAAUUGGAACAACAUUGCAAAAAUGAAAUCAAAGAUUUAGAGUCAAAAGGACUUAUUGUUAAGUCAAGGUCCCCAUGGUCUUGUGCCGCUUUUUAUGUUAAUAAAAAUUCUGAAAUUGAAAGAGGCACUCCUAAAUUAGUUAUAAACUACAAACCUCUUAAUAACGCUCUAAAAUGGAUUAGGUAUCCAAUACCUAAUAAAAAGGAUUUACUCCAAAAACUAUGUAAUGGGGUGACUGUUGAUUACCGAAUUAGCACUGGUUGUUAUGAUAAGUGCUGCAGCACUGGGCAGAACAAAUCUGCAUCCGCAACUAUCGCAUGUUGGAAAUCUCAUACCUUUAAAUCUACUAACAAUGACCAGUUGCUCAUAAAUUUAAUGUAUGGCUUUAUGAUCUUUAAUCUCUCUACCCUACAAGGUGAACACCUAUGUCUAGGAUAUCACAAAUCUUAAUUUCAAGCAUUGCCCUUAUGAGAUUUAAGAUAACCUAAUCCAGAAAACUUAAUUUAAGAACAAGUAAUACUCUAAUAAUGUCCGCUAAGACAUGCCCUUUUGCUGCUCUAUCUUAACUGAAACUAUUAAAUGGGUGGUCAACCGAAAUAAUAAUUAUAUCAUAAAAACUAUUAGAGUAUAAUGCUACAGAAUUAUCAUAACAUCAUAUAAGAACAGUCAAGAACCUAUUGGAUUAUUUGUCACUCAACUACAAGUAAAUUCAGUUUAUAUUCUGAAUGGGAAAAAUAAACAUAAUGAUCGCAGAAUACAUCCAAUCAAUUAAAGGAAGAAAGAUAAUAUGAGUUGAGCACGAUGAAAGUCUAAGGAUCCUCCUCGGUGCUUCAAUGAUGCCGAAUAGCCCUCCUUAAUCUGGAUCUUAUUCUUGCCUUUUUAAUUGUUUUUGAAUGUUAAUUCCACCGCCGCUUCUAUGUGGUGCAUGCCCCCUUUAUAUAUUUGCAAAUUAGGUUUUCCAAACCAGUGCCUAUGCGCGUGCCUGUGUUUUAAUUAGGAAACAUGCAGAUUGUAAUUUAAUUACUGACUCGCGCCUAUAUUUUCUCCUGCGUUUCUCCCAGAUUACUGCAGCAUUGGUUGCUCUAACAUCUGCAACAGCACUUGUGUCAUUUCCGAUUAUGCUUUCCUUCUUUUGUGAUCAUCUUCUUUCCAUAUUUAAUUAAUGCUUUAUCAAAUAUUUUAUUAGAUUCUUUAAACAAGCCUAGCAACAAACAUACAUCUAAAGGCUCAAAAAUAUCACUAGAUCUGGAUAUCAGAAAUAGCGAUCUGAUUGGAAGGAGGGAGAAAAAAAGAAUACAACUGAGGAUUGAGAUCUGGUCUCGUUGCCUCAGAGGAACGUAACAGUUGUAAGGCAGAUAUGAUACAGAUCAGUCUGCAAGUGAUGCUUUAAAAUAAAUUGCGAAAAUUUAAACAUACAUUGAAAGCUUUAAAUUACAAAUGCUUUAAAUAGAAUUGAAAAAUAAAUUGCUUACAUUAAUUGCUUUUUCGAAAUGCUUUACAAAGGUUGAUUUGUAUAGAGAAGAAAGGGAAAAUUACAAGACCAGGAAAAAUUUCCUUGAGCUAUCUUAAUCCAGAUUUCCCGAGAGAGAGAGAGAGAGAGAAAGAGAGAGAAGAAGAGAAUUGGAGAAUGGAAAAAUUCUGAGGAGUCUCAGUCUUCCUCUAGAAUAUAUACAAAAAUUUUUUAAACUGUAGACUGUAGCGGAGCUGUAGCAUAUAGUAAUCUUUGGAACUCUCCACUGUAGACUGUAGCGGAGCUGUAGCGAACAGUAAUCUUUAGAAUUCUUCACUGUAGACUGUAGCGGUGCUGUAGCAUACAGUAAUCUUUGUAACAAAGUUUAAAAUACAAGUAUAAUACGGGUGAAGAGACAUGUGCGCUCUCACUUGUGUCCAGGGGACCACCCGAAGAUACAUACAUAAACUCAAAAAUACAAUUAAUUACAAUGGAAAUGUGAGCCCCAGUGAUUACAGAAGAAGAAUAUUUCAAAGUUAUGGAGCAGCUCAUCACCUCUCGAUCAAAGUCUUCAGUCGCAGACUCCUCUGACGAUGAUGAUGAAGAGCCAUUUAUUUCACUUGGAGACGACAAUGAAUAUGAUUGUUUCGGAAUUUUCUCUCCAAUAAAGCAUUGUAAAUAAUUAUUGUUUCUAAAAAAAAAGAGUAAAUAUUCAUUUUGUAAUUUUCACAUUUCCAUUGUAAUUAAUUGUAUUUUUAAGUUUAUGUAUGUAUCUUCGGGUGGUCCCCUGGACACAAGUGAGAGCGCACAUGUCUCUUCACCCGUAUUAUACUUGUAUUUUAAACUUUGUUACAAAGAUUACUGUAUGCUACAGCACCGCUACAGUCUACAGUGAAGAAUUCUAAAGAUUACUGUUCGCUACAGCUCCGCUACAGUCUACAGUGGAGAGUUCCAAAGAUUACUAUAUGCUACAGCUCCGCUACAGUCUACAGUUUAAAAAAUUUUUGUAUAUAUUCUAGAGGAAGACUGAGACUCCUCAGAAUUUUUCCAUUCUCCAAUUCUCUUCUUCUCUCUCUUUCUCUCUCUCUCUCUCUCUCGGGAAAUCUGGAUUAAGAUAGCUCAAGGAAAUUUUUCCUGGUCUUGUAAUUUUCCCUUUCUUCUCUAUACAAAUCAACCUUUGUAAAGCAUUUCGAAAAAGCAAUUAAUGUAAGCAAUUUAUUUUUCAAUUCUAUUUAAAGCAUUUGUAAUUUAAAGCUUUCAAUGUAUGUUUAAAUUUUCGCAAUUUAUUUUAAAGCAUCACUUGCAGACUGAUCUGUAUCAUAUCUGCCUUACAACUGUUACGUUCCUCUGAGGCAACGAGACCAGAUCUCAAUCCUCAGUUGUAUUCUUUUUUUCUCCCUCCUUCCAAUCAGAUCGCUAUUUCUGAUAUCCAGAUCUAGUGAUAUUUUUGAGCCUUUAGAUGUAUGUUUGUUGCUAGGCUUGUUUAAAGAAUCUAAUAAAAUAUUUGAUAAAGCAUUAAUUAAAUAUGGAAAGAAGAUGAUCACAAAAGAAGGAAAGCAUAAUCGGAAAUGACACAAGUGCUGUUGCAGAUGUUAGAGCAACCAAUGCUGCAGUAAUCUGGGAGAAACGCAGGAGAAAAUAUAGGCGCGAGUCAGUAAUUAAAUUACAAUCUGCAUGUUUCCUAAUUAAAACACAGGCACGCGCAUAGGCACUGGUUUGGAAAACCUAAUUUGCAAAUAUAUAAAGGGGGCAUGCACCACAUAGAAGCGGCGGUGGAAUUAACAUUCAAAAACAAUUAAAAAGGCAAGAAUAAGAUCCAGAUUAAGGAGGGCUAUUCGGCAUCAUUGAAGCACCGAGGAGGAUCCUUAGACUUUCAUCGUGCUCAACUCAUAUUAUCUUUCUUCCUUUAAUUGAUUGGAUGUAUUCUGCGAUCAUUAUGUUUAUUUUUCCCAUUCAGAAUAUAAACUGAAUUUACUUGUAGUUGAGUGACAAAUAAUCCAAUAGGUUCUUGACUGUUCUUAUAUGAUGUUAUGAUAAUUCUGUAGCAUUAUACUCUAAUAGUUUUUAUGAUAUAAUUAUUAUUUCGGUUGACCACUGCUGUACGGCCAAGGCGGAUGUACGGUACAGCAGGCUGGAUUGACAAUUUCUAGUUCUAAAGUUUCUUUAUUUCAAACAAAAGUCAGAUUCCUUGGUCAUCAUAUUUCUAAAGGAACAAUCACUCCAAUCGAGAGAUCUCUUUUGUUUGCUGAUAAAAUUCUUAACAAAACUCAAUUACAAAGAUUUCUUGGGAGUUUAAAUUAUGUUCUUGAUUUCUGUCCUAACAUUAAUAGGAUGUCUAAACCCUUGCAUGAUAGAUUAAAGAAAAAACCUGUUCCUUGGACAGAUGAACAUACCAAGGUUGUAAAGCUUAUAAAGAAUUCUGUGAAAAGCAUCCCAUGUUUAUAUCUUGCUAAUCCUACAUUACCUAAAAUUGUUGAAACUGAUGAUUCUGAUUUAGGUUAUGGAGGCAUAUUAAAGCAAAAAGAAAAUGAUAAAGAACAGAUAGUACAAUAUGUUUCUGCACAUUAGAAUGAUUGCCAGAAAAAUUAUUCUACUAUAAAAAAAGAAAUUCUUUCCAUUGUUUUAUGUGUUACAAAAUUUCAAAGUGAUUUACUAAAUCAAAAAUUUCUACUUAGAAUUGAUUGCAAAGCUGCAAAACAUGUUUUGGAAAAAGAUGUUCAAAAUAUUGCAUCAAAACAGAUUUUUGCACGAUGGCAAGCCAUUUUAAGUGUUUUUGAUUUUGAUAUUGAAUAUAUUAAAGGUGAUACAAAUUAUAUUCUUGAUUUUCUAACUCGGGAAUUUCUUCAAAACAGAUAAUGCCGCCAAAGAAGAAAGACAAAGGUAAAGCUGUUCUUAAAGAUUCUGAAUCUAGAGCAACCUCUAAAGAACCCCAAGCUACCCCUUCUAAAGACAAAUUACUUUCCUCAGCCAUGCCUAUUAAAUCUUGGAUAGAAAUGGUUGAAGAACAUGGUGCCCAUUACAAAACCACUUCUUCUAAUGACCAAGUAAAACAAUGGAUGAGUUCCAUUACAAAGUCCCCUGAGCUUAUGCUCGCCUUACAAAACCUUUCCCAAAGCCAGAUUUUCUCAAAAGAAGAAAAAGAAAACCCUAUCUCCAAAGAAAUCUCAAAACCCUCUUCUCAAAAUGUGAGUGAACAGUUUAAAGAUCUUUGUAUAAAAACCGAGAGGAAGACUCAGACUCCUCAGGUUUUUCAUUUCUAAGUUUAGAACUUCUCUCUCUUCUUCUCUCCCUUCUCUCUAGAAUUCUCUCUCUCUCUCUCUCUGGGAAUAGGAAUCUGGAAUCCGAAGACAAAAAGAAAUUUCUCCUGUCUUCAGAUUAAUUUCCCAUUAUUUCUCUUUCUUCUCUACAAAGAAAACCAACUAAUGUAAGCAUUUCAUUCCAGUUUUAUUAAAGCAAUUUUUAGCAAUUUCAAAGUUUUUCCCUAAGGGUUGGUUUUUUAAACCAUGGGAUUUAACAAAACCUCAAUCCUACUAUCAAAGCAUUUUAGAAAUCACUGAUUCAGUUAAGUUCAAAUAUUUCUUUCUCAGUGAAUCACAUUCAGAACCAGCCUAUUCCACGGCUACUAUUUUAAAAGUUUUGAGCCCAAACCAAUGGGGUGACCUACUCCAUAAUUUUUAAACUUUUCCUUUAAAUUUCCAAACACGUUUACCUCAUUGUCGGACUUAUUCCUACUGGGAUUACCAACAAGCCUGGUAUAACACCUUUUUUUUAUCCAAAAUCCCAAAAAAUCCCAUUCUUGGUUAUUUUUCUUCAACCCAAAAAUAACCGUCCAAAGCCUUCCAAACUGGUUCCAUCAUUGGUGGAAUACUUUUGGCCCAAUACCACAAAUUUUAACCCCAAAUGCCACCCAUUGUUUAAACCUCUUCAAAGCCCAUUAUACUCCUUCUGAAUCCGAGAAAAGGUUUCCCCCAUUUCUCUGUUUCUGUACAAAUUUCUUCCUUCCAUGGGUAUGGAUGUGGAACCUUAGGCUUCAUACCCAAGAUUCCCAACUCAUCCUUCAAAGAACCUUUAAAGUAAAAUGGUGGUCCAAAUUUGACGAACAGUCAAAAUUGACUGAAAAUUUGGUCCGAGAUUGGCUCUCUGCCAAAGGCCUUCUUCAACCCACCAUAACACAUUCUAAAGCCCAACAAACCUUUUUGACCCAAAAGUCCAAAGCCCAAUCCCUAUUGGCAAGUGCCAAAACAGAAGAAGAAUACUUCAAAGCCAUGGAACAGCUCCUCGCCUCCCAGUCAAAGUCAUCAGUAGCUGACACCUCUGAAGACGAAGAAGAAGAUGAAGAUGAAGAGCCCUUUAUUUCUCUUGGAGAUGAUAAUGAAGAUGAAUGUUUCAGAAUUUUCUCUCCAGUAAAGCAUUGUAAAUAAUUAUUUGAUUAUUUACUUUAAAAAAAAUUAUUGUUCUGUUUCUUCGGGUGGUCCUCUGGACACAAGUGAGAGCGCACAUGUCUCUUUACCCGUAUCGUAUUUCAAUUUUUGUACAAAGAAUCUACUAUUCAGAGUUACGAUCCAGAUGUUACUGUGCACUUAAAGCUCCGCUACAGUGAACAGUACAGAUUUCCAGAGUUUACUGUGCACUUAAAAUCCCGCUACAGUGAAUAGUUUAAAGAUCUUUGUAUAAAAUCCGAGAGGAAGACUCAGACUCCUCAGGUUUUUCAUUUCUAAGUCUGGAACUUCUCUCUCUUCUUCUCUCCCUUCUCUCUAGAAUCCUCUCUCUCUCUCCCUCUCUCUCUCUCUCUCUGGGAAUAGGAAUCUGGAAUCCGAAGACAAAAAGAAAUUUCUCCUGUCUUCAGAUUAAUUUCCCAUUAUUUCCCUUUCUUCUCUACAAAGAAAACCAACCGAUGUAAGCAUUUCAUUCCAGUUUUAUUAAAGCAUUUGUAAUUUUAUUUAAAGGAAUUUAAUUUCCGCACUUUAAAUUUCAGCAAUUUAAAUUUCUGCAAUUUAAUUUUAUGUAACAUUUAAAUUUCCGCAAUUUACAUUUAAAGCAUUUAAAUUUCAGUCUUGUAUGUGUUGCUAGGCUUGCUAAAGAAUUUAAUAAAGAUUUGGUAAAUUGUUUAAAAUCUGACAACCGCGUUUAAAGAACUUAAUUAUUAUUUGGUAAAGCAAAAUUAAGUUGGUAUAUCGGCUGGAAACCCGAACGUGUGGGCUAUUGAUUUGUUCUAAGUUAGAUCUGGGUCCAAAGGCAGAUUCCCUUCUGCAUCGAUCUGGUUUAACAACGCCACGUACUAAUUUAAUAAAUAUAAAACCUGACCAACCGCGAUCCAAAGCAAAUCUACUUAAUCUAAAAUUGGUAACUGAAUUUAAAAUUUGAACAAACGCGAUCCAAUUUGUUCUAUCUAAAGCAAUCAAUAAAGAAUUAUUUCGAAAACACAUCCAUCCUUCGAUCCUAUUUCCUUCUAAGGACUUUGAUAAAUUAAUGCAACUGGGAUGUUUUUCCAGUUGCAUUAAUUCGGGUUUACAAUGCUUUACUGGAGAGAAAAUUCUGAAACAGUCAACGCCACGUACUAAUCAAAUAAUUAUUUACAACGCUUUACUGGAGAGAAACAAGAAACAUGAUAUUCAUCAUGUUCAUAUAUAUAUAUGAACAGCAAAAGUAUCAAAAGUAAAAAAAAUUUGCCUACGGAUUUUCUUAACUUUCUUUAUUAAUUUCCCUUCUUUCCAUAUAUGUUCUUAUGUAACAAAUAACAAGAAUUAUUAUAAUUUGAUAUAUGUUAAUCAAAUCUUUUGUAGCAACUCUCCCUAAAUUCCAGAGGGAAUUCGAGGGGGGUCUCUAGAUGCAAUUUACAACUAAAGCAUGGUAGAAGCGUUAAAACUAAUAAACUUAAAAAUAUUUCUAGAAUAUAUAAACCUUCGAUCCUUAAAUAGUGGAAAAUGUAAAAUUUGCCAAACUAUCUAUCAUCCUCAAUGUAGAUUUUCUCCUCACUUAACAUUAAUCAAUUUUGAUCAUGGAAAUUACAAUAAACUUUAAUGAGUACAAGAAUUAGUAAAGAAAGCAAUUUUUCAUCUACCAGAAUACACACACUUAUGUAUAAUACAAAUACACACUUAUAUAUAAUACAAAUACACGAUAUGCAAUGCUCUUUGAAAAACAUCAUAAAAGAAGUUCUUCAAAACCUAGGGUCACUUUCAAAACCUUUCCUUUCAAAUCACUUACUUAAACUAUCUUUAUUCAAUUACCAUUUAUUAUGACUCUCACUUAACAUUCAUACUUUCACAUAAUACUUAUUUUGGGCUUUACACAAGCAUCCUUCACCCACUUAUCUCUUAAAAUAAAAUAUGGAGUGCUUACUGAUAACUCUAGGAAAUGAGAGUUAUUACAUUUAUUUUAGACUUGAAGAAAGGCCAUUUAGAAAGCAAAUAAUGUAUUUUGAUUACAUUUUGGUGAACUUUUGCAUAAACAUUCAUUUUAAUUGAGUCUUAACAAGUUUUGCUUGAAUAAUAGUAAUUUGUGCUAAAAACAAGUUUUAAUUUGUAGGUUUUAAAUUCAUAAAAGGAUGCGGAGACAUUAGAUGAGAAAGAGAAGGAAAGAAGAUGAUCACAAAAGAAGGAAAGCACAAUUGGAAAUGACACAAGUGCUAUUGCGGAUGUUAGAGCAACCAAUGCUGUAACAAUCUAGGAGAAACGCGGGAGAAAAUAUAGGCGCGGGUCAGCAAUUAAAUUACAAUCUGCAUGUUUCCUAAUUAAAACACAGGCACGCGCAUGGGCGUUGGUUUGGAAAACCUAAUUUGCAAAUAUAUAAAGGAGGCAUGAACCACAUAAAAGCGGCGGUGGAAUUAACAUUCAAAAACAAUUAAAAAGGCAAGAAGAAGAUCGAGAUUAAGGAGGGCUAUUCGGCAUCAUUGAAGCACCGAGGAGGAUCCUUAGACUUUCAUCGUGCUCAACUCAUAUUAUCUUUCUUCCUUUGAUUGAUUGGAUGUAUUCUGCGAUCAGUAUAUUUAUGUUUAUUUUUCUCAUUCAGAAUAUAAACUGAAUUUACUUGUAGUUGAGUGACAAAUAAUCCAAUGGGUUCUUGACUAUUCUUAUAUGAUGUUAUGAUAAUGCUGUAGCAUUAUACUCUAAUAAUUUUUUAUGAUAUAAUUGUUAUUUCGGUUGACCACCCAUUUAAUAGUUUCAGUUAGUAUAGAGCAGCAAAAGGGCAUGUCUCAGCGGACAUUAUUAGAGUAUUACUUGUUCUUAAAUUGAGUUUGCUGGAUUAGGUUAUCUUAAAUCUCAUAAGGGCAGUGCUUGAAAUUAAGAUUUGUGAUAUCUUAGACAUAGGUGUUCACCUUGUAGGGUAGAGGGAUUAAAGAUCAUAAAGCCAUACAUUAAAUUUAUGAGCAACUGGUCAUUGUUAGUAGAUUUAAAGGUAUGAGAUUUCCAACAUGCGAUAGUUGCGGAUGCAGAUUUGUUCUACCCAGUGCUGCAGCACUUAUCAUAACAACCAGUGCUAAUUCGGUAAUCAACAGUCACCCCAUUAGGAGAAUUUGAUCAUUCAACUACUAUAUUAUUAAUUGAACCUUGGACACAUUUAAUUAAGUUUAUUUUAUUUCGAUAUUGCUUUAAUUCCCAUCUCUCACAAUUAUUAUUUACGAUAGAAUUAUUUGGCAAUUGUUUGUUUCGGUCUUUAGUUGACGUGCAUUAUUGUGAUUGCUUUAACAUUUUGAGUAACAUCAAUCCUUGUGGAGACGAUCUUGAAUACUCAUCACUUUAUUACUUAUUGUGUAUACUUGCACAUUGGCAUUGAUAAUAAUUGAUUAUACAAAUCAACCAACAAGUUUUUGGCGCCGUUGCCGGGGAUUGAUUGUUUAUUUUUGGAGUGUGAAGUAAAUUGCGAUAGCACCAAACUUAACUCAAUUCAUUCUAUUGAUUGGCAGAUCAGUACGUACAUGCACAAAAAUAAAUCUGAGGUAUUCCAAUUCGAUCCUGAGAUUGAAAGGACUAUCAAGAGAUUGCGAAGAGAACAAAGAAAUUCAAAGACUGCUUCAGGCAUGAAUAACUUGCAAGAUGAGGGAAAUUUGAACCCUCACGGACCUUUACAACCAGCAAACAUUCAAGAAGAGCGGAAUAAAUAUGCUAACGGGAGACAACCAGGAAAUAACAAUAUUAUUUACAUGGCAGAUGACAGGGACCGAGCUAUACGAGAUUAUGCUGUGCUAACUCCUCAAGUUGUCCAUCUUGGCAUCAUCAGACCUGAAGUAGAUGCUGUCAACUUUGAAUUAAAACCAGUGAUGUUUUAAAUGUUGCAAACAGUUGGGCAAUUCAAUGGACUGCCAAAUGAAGAUCCUCAUCUCCAUCUUAAAUUGUGCUUGCAAGUGAUUUUAGAGAGAAUUGCCAAUAAUAACUAUCAGUGGCCUUCAGCUAGGCAACCAGUAGCAAGAGGAUCAGCAGGGGUACAUAGCAUUGAUGCAAUUACAGCCUUAUCAGCUCAAGUAACUUCAUUGACUAACAUAGUAUCAACUUUGAAUUAAAACCAGUGAUGUUUUAAAUGUUGCAAACAGUUGGGCAAUUCAAUGGACUGCCAAAUGAGUAAAAGCCAUGACAGCUGCUCCAGUAACAGUAAAGCAAGUUACUGAACUUUCUUAUGUCUAUUGUGGUGAAGAUCAUGAUUUUGAUAAUUGCCCUGGAAAUCCAGCCUCAGUAAUUAUGUGGGUAACUUCAAUCGACAACCUCAGAACAACCCAUAUUCAAAUACUUACAACCCAGGCUGGAAACAACACCCAAAUUUCUCAUUGAGCAAUCAGAAUUGAAAUCCUCCAACAUUGAAUGGGCUAAGUAGAAACACACAACCACAACCACCUGGUUUUCAUCAACAAAGUCAAGGGCAAAAGCAUAUCAGUCAGGAUCCAAUCACUUCAUUGGAAGUAUUAAUCAAGGAGUACAUUGUAAAGAAUGAAGCAAUUGUGCAGAGUCAAGUUGUGUCCUUGAGAAACCUUGAGAACCAAAUGGGACAAUUAGCUACAGCAAUGAGCAGCAGAACUCAAGGAAGCUUACCUAGCAACACAGAAGAUCAUAGGAGAGAGAGAGCAAAGAACACUGUAAAGUGAUUAGUCUGAGAUCUAGAAAGCAUGUUGAUAUCCCAGUUGAGGUGACAAAAAAUGGGAUGGAAGGCAUUUCAGCUCAAAAACCAACUCAAAAGGGAAGCAUGUUACAGCAGACUCCCCAUCAAGACACUGAUGCAAGAGACCUAGCUAUAGCAACUGCAAAAGAAAAUCAACCAGAUCUUGCUGAAAAAGAAGUUACAACACCAGUAGCCACAACCUGCACCAACUUAAACAAACAGAGUUUGGUACCUCCUGAAUCUAACCAGCAGUUUAGAUAUCCACCAUUCUUCCCUCAAAGGUUCCAGAAACAAAAACAAGACAAGCAGUUCAGCAAAUUCCUGGAAGUGUUGAAGCAACUGCACAUAAACAUACCUUUUGUGGAAGCUUUGGAGCAAAUGCCAAAUUAUGUAAAAUUUUUAAAAGAUAUCUUGGCACGAAAAAGAAGGCUGGGAGCUGGGAGAGUUUGAAACUGUUGUUCUAACAUAGGAAAACAGCCAUAUGCUUCAGAGUAAAAUUUCCACAAAAUUGAAAGAUCCAGGGAGUUUUACAAUGCCCUGCUUUAUAGGGAAUAGGUAUGCUGGCAGAGCACUUUAUAAUUUGGGAGCUAGUAUCAACUUGAUGCCAUUAUCUGUAUUUAAGCAGCUUUGAGUAGGGGAGUGCAGACCAACAACUGUCACUCUGCAAUUAGCUGACAGAUCUCAUGCAUAUCCUGAAGGAAAAAUAGAGGAUGUACUGGUGAAGGUUGACAAAUUCAUUUUUCGAGUGGAUUUCAUUGUGCUGGACUUUAAAGCUGACAAAGAGGCACCCAUUAUACUUGGCAGACCUUUUCUGGCAACUGAAAAGACUUUGAUAGAUGUCCAGAAAGGAGAGCUGACCAUGAGAGUGAAUUAUCAGCAAGUCACAUUCAAUGUACUAGAGGCUAUGAGAAACCCUAAUGAAAUAGAAGAUUGUAAUUUCCUAAGUGUAGUGGAUCUUGUUGUAGCAAACAGAUUGGACAGAUGCUACAGUAAUAUACUUAACAAAGUAACCACCUUUGAGGAGGUUGAAGAGGAAGAUGUUGCAGCAAUUCAAACAUAUUGGAUGGACAAACAACAAUCUAAUGGGUACAAUAGGGUUAUUUAACACCUGAAUCUUUCAGACAGGGAAGUAAAAAUAACUUUAUCAUUUAUUGAAUCACCCCCUGGUUUUGAAUUAAAAUUGUUACCUUCACAUUUAAAGUAUGCUUAUCUUGGUCAAAACAACCCACUCCCUGUAAUCAUUUCUUCUACUUUGGAUGUAGGUCAAGAACAAAGCCUAGUAGAUUUGCUGGGAAAAUACAGAAGAGCAAUUGGAUGGACCAUGACAGAUAUAAAGGGUAUCAACCCAUCAAUAUAUAUGCAUAAGAUCCUUUUAGAAGACUGUUCCAGCAAUUCGGUGGAGCACCAGAGAAAGCUGAAUCCUAUUAUGAAAGAAGUGGUGAAGAAGGAAAUCAUCAAAUCGUUAGAUGCUAGAAUCAUAUACCCAAUAUCAGACAGUUCAUGGGUAAGCCCAGUUCAGUAUGUUCCAAAGAAAGGAGGGAUAAUAGUAAUGGCUAAUGAGAAGAAUGAUCUUAUUCCUACAAGGACAGUGACUGGAUGGAGAGUGUGUAUGGAUUACAGGAAGCUCAACAAAGCAACAAGGAAAGACCAUUUCCCACUUCCAUUCAUAGAUCAGAUGCUGGACAGACUUGCUAGAAAAUAAUACUACUGUUUCUUAGAUGGGUAUUCAGGCUACAACCAGAUUGCUAUAACACCAGAGGAUUAAGAGAAGACUACAUUUACUUAUCCUUACGGAACAUUUGCCUUCAUAAGAAUGUCAUUUGGGCUAUGCAAUGCUCCAGCAACUUUUCAAGGAUGCAUGAUGUCUAUAUUUUCUAACAUGGUAGAGCAGACCUUGAAAAUUUUCAUGAAUGAUUUUUCAGUUUUUGGAGAGACAUAUGGUAAUUGUUUACACAACUUGGAAGAAGUUCUUAAAAGAUGUGAGAUGACCAACUUAGUACUUAAUUGGGAGAAGUGCCAUUUCAUGGUACAAGAAGGAAUAAUGCUGGGUCACAAGAUAUCCAAGGAUGGUAUUGAGGUAGAUAAAGCCAAGAUAGAGGUAAUAGAUAAACUACCACCCCCAACCUCAGUAAAGGGUAUUAGGAGUUUUCUAGGUCAUGUUGGAUUCUACAGAAGAUUCAUCAAGGAUUUUUCUAGAGUAGCCAAGCCUCUAUGUUCAUUGCUGGAGCAUGAUAAACCAUUUCACUUUGACAAAGAAUGCCUUCAAGCAUUUAGAGAAUUAAAGAAAGCCUUGAUCACUGCUCCAGUAGUUAUAUCUCCAAAUUGGAAUUUACUAUUUGAAUUGAUGUGUGAUGCUAGUAAUCAUUCUGUGGGAGCAGUAUUAUGGCAAAGAAAGGAUAAGGUUUUUCAUUCCAUAUAUUAUGCAAGCAAAACUCUUACUCCAACUCAGAUUAAUUACACCACUACAAAGAAGGAGUUGCUGGUAGUAGUUUUUGCUUUUGACAAAUUCAUAGCUUACCUGGUAGGUACUAAAGUAACUGUUUACACAGACCAUGCAGCCAUCAAAUAUUUAAUUUCAAAGAAGGAUGCCAACCCAAGACUAAUCAGAUGGAUCUUAUUGCUUCAAGAAUUUGAUCUGAAAAUUACAGAUAGAAAGGGGACUGAGAAUCAAGUGGCAGACCACUUGUCACGGUUGGAAGCAGACACUAGUACAUUGACAAGGAAGGGCAUCACUGAAACGUUUCCUGAUGAAUAGCUGUUAGCAGUACAGCAAGCAUAGAUGUUGUAGUAGUCAGAAUCUCCAUGGUAUGCAGACUUUGCUAAUUAUCUGGUAAGUGGGUUACUACCACUUGAGCUGAAGUUUCAAGAGAAAAAGAAAUUUCUUCAUAAUGUUAGAAGCUACCAGUGGGAUGACCCAUAUUUAUAUAAGUUAUGCUCAGAUCAAGUAAUAAGACGAUGUGUUGCAGUAGAAGAAAUACCUCAUAUACUGCAAUCAAGUCAUGCUGCAGCAUAUGGAGGACAUUUUGGUGGUCACAGAACAGCUGCCAAAGUUAUGCAAUCAGGUUAUUAUUGGCCCACUAUUUUUAAAGAUGCUUAUGAAUUUGUUAAAUGUUGUGAUAGGUGUCAAAUGACAGGGGACAUAACCAGCAGACAUGAGAUACCAUUGACCAACAUACUGGAAGUAGAAGUUUUUGAUGUUUGGGGAAUAAAUUUCAUGGGACCUUUUCCCCCAUCCUUUGGAAACUUAUAUAUCCUUGUUGCUGUAGACUAUGUCUCCAAGUGGGUGGAAGCUACAGCAUUACCUACCAAUGAUGCUAAAACCGUGGUAACUUUUCUUCAAAAAAAUGUUUUUCUCCAGGUUUGGUACUCCUAGAGCAAUUAUUAGUGAUGAAAGCGCACAUUUUUGCAACAAAAUCUUUACUGUAGCAAUGAUGAAAUAUGGAGUCAGACACAAGAUAGCAACAACAUAUCACCCACAAUCUAAUGGUCAGGCUGAAGUGUCCAACAGAGAGAUUAAAAAGAUCUUAGAAAAAGUGGUGAACCCAACAAGGAAGGACUGGUCUUUACAUUUGCAUGACUCUUUAUGGGCCUACAGAACAGUAUACAAAACCCCAUUCAGCAUGUCUCCUUACCGAAUUGUUUAUGGCAAGGCUUGUCAUUUGCCCCUAGAGCUAGAGCAUAAAGCACACUGGGCACUGAAGAAAAUAAAUUGGGACAUGCAUGCUGCAGCAGAACAAAGGAAACUUCAACUUUGUGAGCUUGAUGAAUUAUGGCUGUUUUCAUAUGAAAAUGAAAAAAUUUAUAAAGAGAGAACAAAACAUUGGCAUGACAAGCAUAUUCAACACAGGAAGUUCAUCCCUAGUCAAUUAGUGUUGCUCCACAAUACAAGACUAAGGUUGUUUCCGGGAAAGCUCAAGUCACGAUGGUCUGGCCCGUUUAAGCUAUUGAAAUCUUACCCUCAUGGAGCUGUUGAUCUUUUAGAUCAACAAAUGGGUCACGAAUUCAAGGUUAAUGGGCACAGGGUUAAGCAUUACAUGCACCCAGCAGCAGAAGGGUCAAAGGAGGUGUUAUCCCUUCAAGAACCCCACUAUUGAGCAAAGACAGAAGGUCAGACUGAAGGACCUUAAAUCAAGCGCUUCAUGGGAGGCAGCCCAUUGAGGAAGCAGCCACAUCAAACCAAUUUCGAUAUCCUUUGGUUUUAUGGACAUCCAUUCCUCUUUACCAUUUUAUUUAAUCUUGUUUUGCCAUGUUAACCAUUUAUUUUUAUCCUUUUACAUUAUUGCAUUCCUUCUUUUCGAUUUACUUUAAUCUACCUUAUCUUAAUAAUUUUAGACUUAAUUUUAGUUUGAAAUAAAUGUGACAAUUGAAUUUCAUAUUGACAAGUGCAAGUAGCUGGUGGCAACCACGUGUCAGACGCUUUGGUAUGGAUUUUGUACCCGUUGUUGGAAUGAGCAAAUGGGGGCUGUAGCAACAAAUUUUCCCGUUACAGUAAAUUAAAGGCUGGAGCCUUCACUUACCGUUGGAGAUGAAAUCGUGACAGAUGGACGCUCGAAUAUGGAUAGAAAUUGCGGAAACAAAUCUUCGAAAUCACAGCUUUAAUUUCAAUGACCGAUAAUUUUGGGAUAUGCAUAUUUAAUUCAAAUAUUUUAUUCCCUCAAUUAUCUCUAAUUACUGUAGUUAUCUUCAAAUUACAGUCAACUAUAAAAAAGAGUCAUUUUGCUUAAUGUCCAAGCCAUUAUUCCCCAUCUCCUUCGCAAGUCCAACUCUCCUAAUUCUUUAACAUUUCUUCUAUUUUGGCUCUCAGGAAUAGUAGCCUAACUUUGUUACUGCUACAGCAAUGCCGCGAUAUAAGAAAACAGCGAGCCGCCUCAAAGAUCUAUCACAAUUCCAGAGUUACCAUGCCGAAGAAAAAUACAAAGAAUUCAUAGAGCCACGCAGGAUUCUGGAAGAAAAAGGGUUUCAAUUUCCAGACCAACUCACUGGAAUUGUGAAAACAACUCAUGAUGCUGCAGCAAAGCGAGGAUGGCUAGAGUUUUACAAACACCCUCGCAAUCCUGUACUGCCAGUGGUAAAAGAAUUUUAUGCCAAUUUUGUAAGCUCUGAUCAGUACAAUAUCUAGGUAAGAAAUACACUUGUUCUAUUGGACUCUCGUGUUAUCAAUGUUUUUUAUAACUUACCUGUUGAGAUUACUUGUGAGUAUGCUAAAUUGCGUGAUAAGUUAACCCCGAAAAAGUGGACCACCAUUUUCACAACUCUUACCAUCGAAGGGGCAUCAUGGGUUAACGAGGAAGGGCGUGUAGUUAACAGGAUAGAGUUGAAACCUAUUGCUAAGGUGUGGGUGAAAUUUUUGAAAUUUAGACUUAUGCCCACCACUCACACUACUACGGUUUCACAAGAAAGAUUGGUUUUGCUAUACGUCCUUGUUAGAGGGCUCCCUAUAGAUGUAGGUAGCAUCAUUACCAAAGAAAUCCGAGAAUGUGCAGCCAAAACUCAUCGAACUGCUGUUUUACUAUUUCCUUCACUUGUCACCAGUAUUUGUGUAGUUUCAGGUGUUCGUUUUGAAGCCAGCGCUGAUCAUGUCAAGAAUGAGGGUGCCUUUACGGCACGAAAAAUUGAAAGAGUUGCUGGCGAGAGUGCUGGAACAACCACUGAACCAGCUGCUGUAACAGGAGCACGACGAACUCUUAGUUUAGAACAGACCAUCCAAGCACUCAGCACCAGUAUCAAUCAAUGUAUGGAAGCUCAGCAGAGGGAAAAUGGUCGGUUUUGGAGCUAUCUACAGCACCUGGAUGGACAACUACACAAAUUUGCUGAGUACAUGAAACACAAUCAUUGGAACUUCCCUACUUCCCUGCUCCAGCAAUACAAUUUUGACACUAGCACCACAGGUGCUCCAGCAGAAACCAAUGAAGAAGCCAAUGCUUCAGAUGAACCAGCAGAGCAAGCUGCAACUGAACCACCAACAAACGUUGACUCAGAAGAUGCUGAACUAUCUGACCCACCUGAGGAUGAAGGUGAUAAAUUUGAGACAUAUAGCUCACCCUCAGAGGCAGAGGAUAAUUCAGAACAUGAACGUGAGGAAACACCCAUCCCCACCCAGUCCAAAACUAGGAAGCAGCACAUUAUUCAAGAAGAGGAGAAGGAAGACCUUGACGUGGAACCUCCUAUUCCAGUCUUUGUAAGCAAAGGAAAGGCCAAGGGUAAAGCAAAAAUGGCAACACCUCUAGCCUCUGACGAUGAAAUGGAACAAGUUGAUGUUGAGUUAGCUGCUGCAACAGCUAGAGCCAUGCCUACAUCUGAGCCAGCCAAGCAACUACUUGAGGUAAUAGUUGCCAUCACAGCCGAGGGCCAGGCAGCUGACGCAUUGACUCAAAAGACUCCACAGCCAAGUCCUAGCCAGCCUAUCCGCACCAGUCCAAGACAACCCAGCAAACGAAAAGGCAAUACAUCUGCGGGUACCACAACUCUUCUCACCAGCCCUGCAGCGAAAAAGACAAAGACAUUGCCAGCUACCUUCCCAGAGGCUUCACCAAAGGAUAAGUUGCUUAGUGCAUCCAAGAAGCGCUGAUAACAUCACAUCAUGGGCUGUAGUCCCCACCACAGGGGAGUACUUUUCUCUCACUAGUUUCCUUCUUGUUCAAAAAAAAAAAGAGUUGUUUGUCCAUUUGUGUGUUUGUAUUUUGUUUGUUUGUGAGGACACAUCAUCUCUCAAGUUUGGGGGGGUUGUUUCCGAAUGCAUGUGUUUUAUGUUUGUGUUUAUGUUUGUGUUGUGUGAAGCUCUAUCAUCUGUUAUUUGUGUAUGGAUUUGAAAACCUAAUGAAGAUAAAUUGAGUGCUAUUAAGUAUUUAUGAGAAUGCCAAGUAGAGAUAGUUUUAGAUAGAAGUGAAAUUAUGUCCCAACACUUAGCCCGUGAUUGAGUUGUAUGAGACUGCUAGAGCAAAACCAAAAGAAUAGAAAAUGUCUUAAGAUUUGAAGGAAGAAGCAUGUUGAUUGACUGUGAUAUUUAUGAAAUAAAACUCUGCUCCAAUGGCUUAAGUUGCUGAGUAACCAGAUCUGAGUAUGCACCCCAUAUGCAGAAAUGUGUAAAAAAGUAGCGACAUGUGCGCUCUCACUUGUGUCCAGGGGACCACCCGAAGAUACAUACAUAAACUCAAAAAUACAAUUAAUUACAAUGGAAAUGUGAGCCCCAGUGAUUACAGAAGAAGAAUAUUUCAAAGUUAUGGAGCAGCUCAUCACCUCUCGAUCAAAGUCUUCAGUCGCAGACUCCUCUGACGAUGAUGAUGAAGAGCCAUUUAUUUCACUUGGAGACGACAAUGAAUAUGAUUGUUUCGGAAUUUUCUCUCCAAUAAAGCAUUGUAAAUAAUUAUUGUUUCUAAAAAAAAAGAGUAAAUAUUCAUUUUGUAAUUUUCACAUUUCCAUUGUAAUUAAUUGUAUUUUUAAGUUUAUGUAUGUAUCUUCGGGUGGUCCCCUGGACACAAGUGAGAGCGCACAUGUCUCUUCACCCGUAUUAUACUUGUAUUUUAAACUUUGUUACAAAGAUUACUGUAUGCUACAGCACCGCUACAGUCUACAGUGAAGAAUUCUAAAGAUUACUGUUCGCUACAGCUCCGCUACAGUCUACAGUGGAGAGUUCCAAAGAUUACUAUAUGCUACAGCUCCGCUACAGUCUACAGUUUAAAAAAUUUUUGUAUAUAUUCUAGAGGAAGACUGAGACUCCUCAGAAUUUUUCCAUUCUCCAAUUCUCUUCUUCUCUCUCUUUCUCUCUCUCUCUCUCUCUCGGGAAAUCUGGAUUAAGAUAGCUCAAGGAAAUUUUUCCUGGUCUUGUAAUUUUCCCUUUCUUCUCUAUACAAAUCAACCUUUGUAAAGCAUUUCGAAAAAGCAAUUAAUGUAAGCAAUUUAUUUUUCAAUUCUAUUUAAAGCAUUUGUAAUUUAAAGCUUUCAAUGUAUGUUUAAAUUUUCGCAAUUUAUUUUAAAGCAUCACUUGCAGACUGAUCUGUAUCAUAUCUGCCUUACAACUGUUACGUUCCUCUGAGGCAACGAGACCAGAUCUCAAUCCUCAGUUGUAUUCUUUUUUUCUCCCUCCUUCCAAUCAGAUCGCUAUUUCUGAUAUCCAGAUCUAGUGAUAUUUUUGAGCCUUUAGAUGUAUGUUUGUUGCUAGGCUUGUUUAAAGAAUCUAAUAAAAUAUUUGAUAAAGCAUUAAUUAAAUAUGGAAAGAAGAUGAUCACAAAAGAAGGAAAGCAUAAUCGGAAAUGACACAAGUGCUGUUGCAGAUGUUAGAGCAACCAAUGCUGCAGUAAUCUGGGAGAAACGCAGGAGAAAAUAUAGGCGCGAGUCAGUAAUUAAAUUACAAUCUGCAUGUUUCCUAAUUAAAACACAGGCACGCGCAUAGGCACUGGUUUGGAAAACCUAAUUUGCAAAUAUAUAAAGGGGGCAUGCACCACAUAGAAGCGGCGGUGGAAUUAACAUUCAAAAACAAUUAAAAAGGCAAGAAUAAGAUCCAGAUUAAGGAGGGCUAUUCGGCAUCAUUGAAGCACCGAGGAGGAUCCUUAGACUUUCAUCGUGCUCAACUCAUAUUAUCUUUCUUCCUUUAAUUGAUUGGAUGUAUUCUGCGAUCAUUAUGUUUAUUUUUCCCAUUCAGAAUAUAAACUGAAUUUACUUGUAGUUGAGUGACAAAUAAUCCAAUAGGUUCUUGACUGUUCUUAUAUGAUGUUAUGAUAAUUCUGUAGCAUUAUACUCUAAUAGUUUUUAUGAUAUAAUUAUUAUUUCGGUUGACCACCCAUUUAAUAGUUUCAGUUAAGAUAGAGCAGCAAAAGUGCAUGUCUUAGCGGACAUUAUUAGAGUAUUACUUGUUCUUAAAUUAAGUUUUCUGGAUUAGGUUAUCUUAAAUCUCAUAAGGGCAAUGCUUGAAAUUAAAAUUUGUGAUAUCCUAGACAUAGGUGCUCACCUUGUAGGGUAGAGGGAUUAAAGAUCAUAAAGCCAUACAUUAAAUUUAUGAGCAACUGGUCAUUGUUAGUAGAUUUAAAGGUAUGAGAUUUCCAACAUGCGAUAGUUGCGGAUGCAGAUUUGUUCUGCCCAGUGCUGCAGCACUUAUCAUAACAACCAGUGCUAAUUCGGUAAUCAACAGUCACCCCAUUAGGAGAAUUUGAUCAUUCAACUACUAUAUUCUCAAUUGAAUCUUGGACACAUUUAAUUAAGUCUAUUUUAUUUCGAUAUUGCUUUAAUUCCCAUCUCUCACAAUUAUUAUUUACGAUAGAAUUAUUUGGCAAUUGUUUGUUUCGGUCUUUAGUUGACGUGCAUUAUUGUGAUUGCUUUAACAUUUUGAGUAACAUCAAUCCUUGUGGAGACGAUCUUGAACACUCAUCACUUUAUUACUUGUUGUGUAUACUUGCACAUUGGCAUUGAUAAUAAUUGAUUAUACAAAUCAACCAACACUUACUACAAGAAUAGUGAAUUCAAGCACCUAAGGAAAAAAGAAAAUUUACUUACUUUCUUUAAAAUCAGCUUGCUAAAACUCACUUUCUCAUUUCAAUAGAAAACGAAAUGUAUAUGCCAAUACACCUUCUCACACACACACGUAUGCAAGCAUGCACACAUAGGCACAUGCAUGCACGAACGCAUAGAUACGCACACAUGCACGUACAUUCGUGCACAUCCACACGCACGCACGUACGCACACUCAAACACAGACAUAUAUACACACAGAUAGACACACGCGUGCUCGUACAUGCACGCAAGUAUGCACACGCACACACACACGUUUGCAUGCACACACCCAUGCGCACCCAAACACUGGAAGACACACAAACAAACACACACGUUCGCGCGCACAUGCACUAUAACAUAUGUGAGAAAAAACAGUGAGGUGGUUAAAACGUAAAUAAAAAUAAAAGAAGAAGUUGGAAAUAGGGGAACACAUACACACCUAUCAAAGAGUGAGAAAAGCUAUAAACUGACCCAAAACCUGACAUGACCCGCGAACGUCACCUGGUCGAAUCUCAUGAUUUCAACCAGCUAAGCUUGGUACUAAUCUAAAGCUUGAAGAUCAGUCAUCGUAUUCCAGCCAUCACAGUCGCUGAUUAACGACCAGAACGCCGAUGUUUUAGCUCGAUAAGCAGCGGUAAAACCACCCCUUCUCGCCGUUGAUUUCGUCAGUUUGGGGUGACCUCACCGGCUAGGUUUUGUUCCCUGACUCCCUUUUUAUUUUCCAACCAUCCACAGCCACCAAAAGUCGUUGAUUUACGGUGUUCAGCCGUUGGAGUUACACGACUGUUGAGCUAGAUUCUGGGGCCGUCGCCAUGCAUGGGAGCUCACCGCCGGUUCUAUUGAACUCAGCUCAGCCAGAAAUGUUUAAACCAAGUUUCCCAGUCACCGUGUAGAGAUUUCAGAGUAUUUUAAUUUCUGACCCUGUAGAGAUUUUAGUAAUUUCUGAAAUUCAGGAUUGGUUGUAAUUACGGUAAUUCAAUAACUUUUUAUUUCGGUGUAUUUUAAUGAUGUAUGGAUUAAACGAUAUUUUAAUAAUUUUAUCGACGCGGGAGUGGUAUAUUAUGGACAAAUGUUCGUUUCGAGUUUAUUGCAUAAAUUUAGUCUUAAUUCCAAUUUACGAAAAUUAAUUAUGUCGUUUCCUUGAUUUAGGAGGAUCCGCGAGCGAGAACUAAUUCGUGAACGUGGGCGAUAACUGAGUAUGAACAUCGUCAUUAUGAGUGGAAUAUACAAAACCU